UUCUUUUUGGUCUUGUUAUCAAUAAAAGGAUACACAAUUUUCCACAUUGUCCAGAAUAGGUAAGGAACAUGAACUACAAUUAGUUUUUCAAGUCUUUCAGGGUAGCAGUCCUGCAAUUAAUAGUAGUAAACUUCAAUAUUAUGGACUACAAGGAGAAAAAAAUGAAAAGGAUUUCACUUAUAUGCACAGGCGGUGAAGCGCUUUUACACUAUCACAAUAUUUUAAUAUAUAUAUGUUUUAACUUUUACUAGGUAAACUACCUUGUUUUCCAGGUUACUGAUUCUUCUUACUAUGGACGAUUAUCAAUAGUUAUCUGUUAGGUGAUCUAAUAGUAUAAAAAAGACCUUACAUUGUCCGUGUAUCAAAGGUAAACUCAACAAAAAUGGUUAGUUAGACCUGUAAAAUGGACAGAGCCCCAAUGUAUGCACGAGCAUCGCUGUUGGAAUAGCCAAAACCUUCGAGAUCUCCAAUUACCACAAACUUUUCCCUACCUGGUGAGGUCCUGAUUCAUCAAAAAAGUCCCAAAAUAAAAUAAUAAAAAUUUCAAGGUUGCAUGAUCUUGACUAACUUGGAAGCUUCUUUGAAAAGGUAAAUAAUUUUGCCAACUGAGUAUAUAAUACAAGAUAGUGUACCUUGAACAUAGUUUGUCCAAAGCCAAGACAACAAAUCCUGGAAAUCAGAACAAAGUCUUGACUAUAAAUUAAGUAGCAGGCCAAGUGGAACGGAAUAAAGAGAAAGAAAACAAAAUCAUACGUUUGAACUCGUCAAGACCUCCUAGUUUAUUCUGAAAAUGUCUGCCACCUAAAACGACAGCAAUAGGGCGUCCUUGUUUGUCGACUCCUUGCAUGAACAUUUUGUUGUGUGCUAUCUGGUUUGGAAUCUCACUCGGUGAAAUGAAGCCAUUUGGUGCAAUGCUUUUCUUCCAUUUAAGGCAUUUCAACAACAUUGCCGAAGCUUUGUCUACGUCCAGAUCCCUAGCUCGAAGAAACCUUCUUAUCUCAAAAUCAUCUACUUCCUGAAAACAAUUGACGUAAAAAAAACUGAUAAGAAGAUGGAUUCUGAGCCUAACUCAACUUCAAAAAACUAGCUUAUGUCAAUUCCUUUAAUCAAUGCACGACACUUAACACCUCCCCUACGGCAAGAGUUGGACAUUUGGGGAAUGAACAUACAGCAUAGGGGCUCAACAUUGGAUAAACCAAGAACAUGCAUGGGUCUGACUCUGAUACAUGAUUUAGAAUAAUGAAGAUUAGGCUAAAUUCAACUGCAAAAGUAAGUUCCUGAGGUGUAUAUUUUCCAAGACCUACAACAUCUUUUUAACUCACUAGAAGUUAUACACUUAUAGCCUGUUUAGUGUUUAGCCAAGCUUCUCUAAACGAUUUUUUUUUUUUUUAAAGUUGAAGUGUUUGGCCAAGCUUUUGGAAGAAAAAAAAAGUGUUUACGAGAAGAAACGGAAUCAGUUUUGGAGAAACAAGAAAUAUUAGUUUCUCACCAAAAAUACUUUUGAGAAAAAUAUACUUAAAAACACUCUUUACAAGUUUGACCAAAUACUAAUUGCUACUGAGAAGUGCAUUUUAAAUUAAUAAGUCAAACAUAAACUGUUUUUCACCAAAAGUAUUAUUGAGAAAAAAAUAUUUCUUAAACUAAGCAUAUUUUAGAAACUUGGUCAAACAACACACUAUUAGAAAUCUUGAUGUUUUACAUGUAAACGGAAGGAAGGAAACUAAUAAAGAGUUACUCCUUGCGUUUUACUUUAUUUAAUACUAUUUUCUUAUUAAUUUGUUAAAAAAAAAGAUAUAUUUUUAUACUUCCUUAGGAAGAAGCUUUUGCAACCGAUAAAUAUUAUAUCAAAUUUAUGACCAGAAAUUUCAAAAAUAUUAUAACAACACAAAUAUUAUAACAUAUUCCAGACAGUAGUACUAUACCAAACAAAUUGAGACAGGAGUACUAUUCAAUUACCUUGGAAGAAGGAUCUUGCUUUUCGACAAGAGCUCUCAUAAGGCAAAUCUUGUUCUUCUCUUCUUCACUGAUUUUGUCAUCGCAUUGUACUUGGAUAUCCUGUGUUACUGAUUCUCCUUCCCCCUCCAAUUUUGUUUCACAAUAAAGUCCAUUAUUGUUUAACUCUUUUGCUACUGCCUCAACCUUUCCCUCCAUCACUUUCUUUCUUGCACCAAUUACUAGCAGGAGAAAUAUACAAGGCACAGAAGAAGGUCCCAAUUUUCAAGAUAACAAAAUAAUCUGCUUCAAUUUAUGGCUAACUUAGAGGAGGAAAUUAAAAAGAGGAAUAUAGGGAAGCUAGAAAAAUUAAGACUUUGCUUUAAUGAGUAAAUCAAAUGGGACCGCCGUGGAUGUAGUUGACUAAUAAUUAAUUUAUAGGGACCAAAUACUAUUAAAACCGUAGAGAUGAGUAUCUAUAUACUUGUAUUCUAGAUGAGUAUCAUGUAUUAGAGAAUGCAAAAAUUUGUCAAAAUUUGUAAAGGUAGAACUGGAAUUUAAAAGCAGUGAGUGCACCUUUUAAUAUACAUAUAAAUAUUUGUCAAAAUAAUAAUAAUUUUUUGUGGAUACGUGUUUGUUUUCGUGGGUAACUCAUCCGAUCUAUCUUGAAAUUGAGGGUAUUUGAUAUGUUUGUGGAAGAAAGAUGUAGCUUUUCAACACGAGAUCUCAGCCACAUGUUAAAUGUUAGAUCAGAUCUGCCUCUAAUAUUAAUGCAAUUGGAAACCAUAUAUAUAAGUAUAUUCUUAGAAAACUAUACUGUACAAAUAUAUGGGCCCCAAACUUAAAUGUAAUCUUUUUGGACUCGAGAGACACAAAAAAAUUAAAAAAAAUAAUUGGGCACCAUUUUAUAUAUAGCGCGGGUAUUCACCGCAAUAUACUUUAACGACGGUUUUGUCCGUUAAAGUAUAGCGCGGCGAAUAACCACGCUAUACUAUAGCGCCUUAUAUAUGCGUGCUAUACCUAUAUAAAAAACCGUGCCUUCUCCUUUCCCAACCCAUCGAACCGCGAACCUCGACCCUGCCCCCCCCCUCCCCCCCCCCAUUUUCUAAUUGGGAAAACAUCUCGAUUUGUCCUUGUAUUAUUGUAUAUAGUUUACAUUUGUCCCUCGUUAUACUUUUCGUUCAAAUCCAUCCUUACCAUUAAUAAAGUAAGCAAAAAUACACCUAACCAUAACGUUUUGACACUGUGUCACUCGGGGCCCUCAAAUAAAUUGACACGUAAUAAUAUAUGUCAGCAUUUUUAUAAGCUCACUACCCAAUAUAUUAUUUUAAUUCUUUUUUCCUUUUUUCUUUUACUUUUCUCUUUCUUCUUUUUUUUAACAUCACUUUUUCUCCUUAUCCAAUGCCAUAGCUCGCUGCAAGCUUUUGAAACCCAUCAAGGAUUUUUUAAGUUCCUGAUAAUGAAAUUAAAAAGAGAAUGAGAUAGUUUUUUCUGAAUGGGCUGAAAAUGCUAGGACUACUAGUUAUGAUUAAUCCCAAAGGUGACAGACCAUUAAUCUUCUUCCUUAAAGCAGUGUGUAUUUAUUGACAAGCAGUAAUCUUCUCCAUUUUUGGUGGUCUUGCCGGAAAAAUGCUUGCGGGUGAAGAACCAUGCUUAGAUUUGGCAAAAACAUUAUCGGUGAAUUUUUUUUAUUUUAACCUUUAUUUGUCGCAGAACUUCCUCUUACCGACCUCAAAAUCUUCAUUGCUUUCACUUUUCUUCUCUAAAAAUGUAUAGGUCAAAAUCUUUCUCAAUGAGAUUUAGCAUGGAGUGAUAUUAUGGAGUGAUGUGACCGAGGUCGACUAGUAGACAGUAGGAAAAAAAGAGGGGCAGUCAAUAACGGCCAAGGUCAAAUAUCAAGGACGGUACUAACGACUAGUUUUUUAAUAAGAUAUUUAAGGGAAUAUUCCCUUGAAUAUUCUCUGUACAGGUACUUUUAUGUUUGACUGGGGAUAUGUCCUAUAUACAUAGAAAAAGAGAUAAGGGGGAAGGGCAUGUAAUUUAUUCUGAUAAGAACACUUUUUGAGAAGAAAACUCUCUCUAGAAAAGAUACAAACACUACCUUUCUAAUAAGAUUCUACCAUCCAUUAUUCUAUACUUUACUAUCAAAUCCGAGAAUAGUUCCAAUAUUCUAGGAUUUGUCUAUCACUCAUCGCUGUCAGAAAGAAGAAUCAUCCACCUCAUUCGAUAUUGGGUGAAUCAUUCUCCUUAUUUAUGUUAAUGUCAUUUAUUGUUAUUUAUUGCUUGAUAUUCUUCCAUCAUUACUUCUCUUGAAAUAUUAAAUGCAUAUUGCAUAUAAUCCCUCACUAACACUAUCCUGCGUUAUUAGUGUUAGUUAGUUAUAAAUCUAGGGAUAUUAUUUUCAACCAGGCUUAAUCCCUCAUUACAUAAAAUUGAUUAAUUUAACCGAAGAUUUGUACUUUUUGGUCAAACAAUUUGGCAUCAUCUGUGUGGAUUUCCUAGUUAAAAUUUUAGAUUCUUCUAGAUCUAUAACUAGUAUAGUUUACAAAAAAAAAGGAGUAAAACUCCUUUUUCCCUUGUACACACGGAUCUGACAUGGAAGGUAAUGGAAAAAAAAAAAUGAAGGCAAUGGCCGAUCUCACCACCAACCUCUUGAACAUCAUCAAUGAGGUUUCUGAAACAGACAGCGAGGAUAUAAUGCCCAACGCCUCCUCUAGGCGAGGUGGAUCGCCCCUCCCUGACGGCAAUAUCACAACAUCCAGCGGUAAAUAAGCUUCCACGUCUACGACGGAAGAGGUGCCACCAGUAGUGAAAAUACUACUUGAGGCUUGGCUAACAAACACGCUAACCAGCAUCAUCGACAAGCCCGCCCAGGAGGCAGCUAGAGAAAACACAAGGAGCAUUACACUGACAACAUCCGAGCAACACGAUCCUCUCCCUCCAGUAACAAGUAUCACUCACAAUGUUAAUAAUACAGGUGACGACACCCUCACAGCCAUUCUGAGGAAGAUGGAAGAAAUGGAAAAUAAGAUCAAAAUGCUUCGGGACCAAAUGAGAGAGCACCAAGAAAGAGUCGAGAAAAUACCGGGUGCCCCAAAACUCUUGCCAAAAAGAGAUGCUGGUUGGUUCGUUGAGUAACCCUAUAGUGAUGAAGUCGCUCUGCAUGCCAUACCCAAGACCUUCAAGAUGCCGCCUUAUCUAAAAAUGUAUGAUGGUACGACCGAACCCGAAGAUCAUGUAACUCACUAUGUUACUGCAGUGAAAGGCAAUGAUCUCGCCAAAGAACAAGUAUCCUCCAUCUUGUUGAAAAGGUUCGGCGAGAUCCUCACUAGAGGAGCAUUAACUUAGUAUUAACAACUGCCCGCGCAUUCCAUUGAAACGUUCGAAGAGAUGGCCGACAAGUUCGUAACGGCCUAUGCUGGGGCUAAAAAGGCGAAGGCAAGAGUGAACAAUAUAUUUGCCAUCAAACAAUCGCCCGGAGAGGGAUUGAGGGACUUCCUUGCUCGAUUCAACAGAGUAAGGAUGACCUUACCGAAAAAUUAUUAAGUCAGCUUAUAAAAUAUCCUCCAACAACUUGGGAUGAAAUAGACAAUGCCUAUUGUGCCAAGGUCCGUGCAGACGAAGAUGACCUAAAUGGGCCCACUCAUCGGUUGACCUCGGUACAGGCCGAAUCUAGGAAGGAUCGAAGAAAUGAUGCUAGGAGGGAUCUUGCAGCUCCACGACCCAACCGAGAAAGGCAUCAGCCAUAUAUCAAAAGCGCCAUCAUGCCCCCUUCCCGCCACAAAGAGGGCCUAUCUAGACCAAGGACAGGGACUCACCGCAAUGAAAGAGGUAUGCCCCCUUUAUUAUCCGCUCACAAUUUUUGUGUGUCACCCUCAGAAAUAGUCUACGCAUUGGAGAAGCUCGGAUCAAAAGUAAAGUUGCCACAAAAGAUGAUGUCAGAUCCAAGCACCAUAAAGUCAAACUCCCUCUGCGAGUUCCACCAAGAGCAAGGUCACAAAACUGAGGAUUGUAUCGCCCUAAGGCAGGAGGUCGUGAACAUGCUUCACCAAGGACACCUCAAAGAAUUGCUGAGAAACCAAGGAAGGUCCAACUUUGCGCGAGGAUGUAAACAGCACCAAGGACCGCCGAAACUACCCUCACCGAAUCGCACCAUUCAAAUGAUCAUCGGAGGCGCGAUGACGCUUCGACCAACAUCAUAAAGUUCACCACAACCCACAAGAUCAAAUGGUCGAUCACUCACGAACGGUAUGACAAACUCGAAGAAAGUAUUAUUUUCGAUAAGUCAGAUACCCACGAUUUGGUUUUCCCUCACUAUGAUGCCCUUGUUAUCACUUUAUGAAUAUUAGAUACAGAUGUAAGACGCAUUAUGGUGGACGAUGGGAGCGGCGCAUGCAUUAUCCACCCUCGAGUACUUGCACAAAUGAAACUCGAGGAUAAGAUUGUAUCGCAAUGCAUCAUGCUAACAUGUUUUAACAAUGCAGUUAAACGAACAUCUGGAGAAAUCACACUCCCCGUCCUGGCCGGCGGCGUCACUCUAUAAACCACAUUCCACAUCAUGGACCAGGAUACGACGUACAACACCAUAAUAGGUCGAUCCUGGAUACACGCCAUGGGGGCCAUCCCCUCCAGCUUGUACCAAGUUAUCAAAUUUCCAACCCCUUGAGGAAUAUUCAACAUACGAGAAAAACAACGCAUAUCUAGAGAAUGCUACCGUAUCGCCCUGGAUUGUACAACCACCUAGUAGAUGAAGGGCAAAGCAAAAGAGGCAUAAUAAUUAAUAGGGUCGAGGUCAAGCUGUGACAAAAGAGAGGACGUCAUCAGAGAUCCCAAAAUAGUAUAGGCCACGGAAUUAACCAUAGAAGACCUCGACCCCGUUCAACUUGAUGUUAACGACCACAGCAAGAAGGCCUACAUCGGUUGCAAGCUUCAAGAACCAGGUAAUUUUCGUCAAUUCUUAACUACUGAAGCAGACUUGCAUGCUUUUCCCACGCAGACAUGCCAGGUAUCCCGAAGGAGAAUGCCACACACAAGUUGAACGUCGACCCAUUCCACCCCCGGUGAGGAAGGUUGGGCGGAAGUUCAAUUCCAUAAUAAAUGAUGCAGUCCGCAAAGAGGUAAAAAAAAUACUGGAAAAUGGCUCCAUAAGGGAGUCAAAAUACCCCCAAUGGGUCGCCAAUGUGGUCAUGGUGAAAAAGAAAAAUGGGAAGUGGCGAAUGUGCGUAGACUUUACAGAUUUAAAUAAAGCAUGCCCCAAAUAUUGAUUCCCGUUACCUCUUAUCGACCAGCUCAUUGACGCAACGACCGGGCAUGAAUUGCUAAGCUUCUUAGACGCCUGCUCAGGCUACAAUCAGAUCCUCAUGGAAGAGGAGGAUCGGGAGAAGACCACCUUCAUCACCCAUCAUAGGACGUACUGCUACAGGGUUAUGCCCUUCGGACUAAAAAACGCAGGGACGACAUACCAAAGGUUGGUGACCAAAAUGUUCAAAGAUCAACUCGGCAAGACUAUGGAAGUCUACAUAGACGAUAUGUUGGUCAAGUCCAAAAGGAAAGACGAUCACAUCACCACUUGAAAGAAGUCUUCGACAUAGUCAGGCGAUACAGAAUGAAACUAUAUCCUGAAAAGUGUGCAUUCGGCGUGACCUCAGGAAAAUUCCAGGGUUUCCUAGUAUCACAGCGAGGUAUCCAGGUCAACCCCGACCAAAUCAAAGCCAUAAAAGGAAUACCAGAUCACUUAACCACCAAAAAUCAGGUUCAGAGGCUGGUUGGACAUAUCGCCGCCCUGUCAAGAUUCAUUUCAUGAUCAUCCGACAAAUGCCACAAGUUUUUCGGCAUACGCAGAAAGGAUAACGACCUCCAGUGGACCUCCGUCAUUGCUUUCCAAACCAGAGCCUGGGGAGCUCCUCCUCGUCUACCUCGUUGUAUCUGAGGUGGAGGUGAGUGCGGUCCUGGUCCGGAAAGAGUAAGGUACGGAAUCUCCCAUCUAUUACAUGAGCAAAACCUUAGUCGACGCCAAGACAAGGUAACCCCACCUCAAAAAAUUGGCUCUGGCCUUGGUUGUAGCUUCAGAAAGCUUAGACCCUACUUCUAGUUCCACCCCAUCUCGGUAAUCACAAAUUUCCCCUUGAGAAGUAUUUUGCAUAUGCCCGAUCUAUCGGGCAGGUUAGCCAAAUGGGCCAUAGAACUAAGCGAACAUGAUAUCAUAUAUCAACCCUGAAUGACGAUAAAAUUGCAAGUCCUAAGUCGGAAAAGAAGCGGCCCACGCUUCUCGACAAACACAAGAUCUAUGGAUUUUGUACACCGACGGUGUCUCUAAGUCAGUCCACAAGGUGCCCGAACAUGACUAAUAAUGAGGCCAAGUAUGAGGCCAUGAUUGCAGGAUUAAGGUUGGCACUCAAGUACGGGGAGAGACCGGUCAUACAACGCUACGACUCUCAACUCAUCGUCAACCAAGUCACAGGGACUUUCCAGAUCAAAGAGCAAAGGUUACAAAAAUUCCAGACCGAGAUCUGCAAACUACUGCCCGAGUUCGACGAAUGCCAUCUCUACCAAAUUCCUCGAGCACAAAAUAUCGAAGCAGAUGGCCUCGCCAAAUUAGCAGCAGCCACUUAAAGCAUAAUCGGAGAAAGAAACGUGGUCACCUUCCUUUACUCAUCAAUAUAUCAAAUCGAGGUAAGGACCAUAAAUCUAACUUGGGACUGGCGCAACCGUAUUGUUACAUACUUGCAGGAUGGCACACUCCCAGAUGAUAAAAAGGAAGCCAAGAAGCUUUGGAUGCAAGUAGACAGGUACAACAUCAUUCAUUACGACCUAUACAAGAGGACGUAUGGCGGCCCCCUAGAGAAAUGCUUAGGCCCAAAUCAAACGCGGCGCAUCCUAGAAGAAGUCCACGAAGGCCACUGCGGAGCUCAUUCCGGUAGUCGAGCUCUAGCCAGAUGUCUCAUACGUGCAGGUUACUACUGACCCACUAUGAAAAAAAGAGGCGGCAGACUUCGUGAAACAAUGCGAGCAAUGCCAAAAAUAUGCCUCAAUGAUCCAUCAAGCGGACCUCCGCUCGGUCACUUCCCCUUGGCCGUUCAUCAAGUGGGGAAUGGACAUCGUCGGCCCACUCCCUGUAGGGUGAGGUAACUUACGAUUUCUUUUGAUUUUAACUGACUAUUUUUUCUUAAUGGAUAGAAGCAAGAAUGUUUUCCCAUAUAAGCGAACAGGAUGUGAUCACCUUCAUAUGGAAAAACAUUGUGUGCCGCUUCGACCUCCCCAAAGAAAUCAGGUGCAACAACGAACCCCAAUUUACUAGAAAAAAAGGUCGCCUAAUUGUUUGAGAAGUGGCAUAUCAAAGAAUACUCUCAACACCGUACCACCCCGCGGGCAACAGACAAGCGGAAUCCUCCAAUAAAUCAAUGCUGAACAUCAUGGAGAAAAAUCUUGAGGACGCCAAGGGACUAUGGCCGGAGUUAUUACCAGAAGUGCUUUGGGCCUACCGUACAAUGCCGAAGACUAGCACAUGAGAGACACCCUACUCAUUUAGUCUACGGUAAUACCAGUCUAAGUUGGAGAGCCCAAAUUGAGAUAUUCCCAUGAGAGCAGGCCGAGGAAUGAUGAAAGCAGAAGGCAAUAGCUCGACGAAGCUGAAGAACGGAGAGAUAUGACCUACAUAAGGUUGAUCGCUCAAAAGCAACAUGUAGAACACUAUCAUAAUAAAAAGGCCAAGAUCAGACCACUCAAAGUCGGGGACUACAUGCUCAAAGCCAAAGCACAAGCAAGCAAAGACUCGCGGGAAGGAAAACUGGGAACAAAUUGGGACAUUCCAUACAAAAUCAUGGCAAUAGCGAAUAAAGGGUCUUUCUAACUAGAAACAAUGGAAGGAAAACUACUACCAAACAACUGGAACAUCAUGCACCUCAAGUAGUUCAACUUUUAAGAAAAAGCGUUCUCCAAGUCAUACUCUUUUUUUCCUCACUUGAGUUUUAUCCAGUUGGGUUUUCUCUACGAGGUUUUUAACGAGGCGACAAAGGGGACAUUUCAGGUUGAAAUACGAAUUAAAGAGGGCAUCGGAUGGUCAGUUCAUUGCCCAACCUCUCAAGAUGUCUCUACUUCGCCGAAUGAAGGGACUAGAUAGGCUGGGACUGGAAUGCCAACCCGGCAAACAUGUAAGUUUCUCCAAAUAUGAUCAAAACACAAAUGUAUGAAGUCCGCCCAUACUUUCUCCAGAGCAACACUGCCUCAAUAUCUACUCGGCCCCGGCCACAACUAAGUACGGGUUACAUUCGACCUCAUUCAAAUUAACACCCGCUCGGCCCCCUCCCACAAUUAAUAAAAGUUACAUUCGACCUUGCUUGAAUUAACUCAAAUUCGACCUUUCUCGAAUUAACUCACAUUUGACCUUGGUCGAAUUAACUAAGUAUGGGUUAUAUUCAACCUCGUUCGAAUCAACACCCGCUCGGCACCCGGCCAUAAUAAAAUAAAAGUUACAUUCGACCUUGCUCGAAUUAAUUCACAUUCAACCUUGCUCGAAUUAACUAAGUACGGGUUAUAUUCGACCUCGUUCGCAUCAACACCCGCUCGGCCCCCGGCCAUAAUUAAAUAAAAGUUACAUUCGAUCUCACUCAAAUUAACUCACACUCAACCUUGUUCGAAUUAACUAAGUAUAGAUUACAUUCAACCUCGCUCGAAUUAACAUCUACCGGCCCCCGACCGUGACCGAAAUUGAGUUCUAUUUCGACUUCGUUCAACACACAAAACCCAAGUUUUUAUGACUUAAGCGACCAAACGGCAAAACAAAAGAAAGAGGCAUACAAGCCCGAACAGAAGCAAAAAAGUGAGGUAUGAGUAGCGAAAAUGGCAUUCCACAAAAUAUAUUCUUUACAAAGGCUAGAAUAGACGCCCUCAAAAAUAUGUACAAACCUUACAAGAAAAAAGAUAGAAAAAUGACUACUCGCCACCUAACCCAGCAACGUCAUCUAUCUGACCGCCUAUGUCAUUUCCACCUGACUUCCCGCUAGUACCAUCGCCACCGCCUCCAGAAUACUCAUCCUCAUACCAGGCAUCUUGUUCUAACCCGUCCACGCCUAUGUCCUCCUCGCCAUCACCAGUCUCUGGCGUAGCGGGGUCAUAGCCAUAAACAGUCUGAGCUCAGCGUGCCGUAAUGCGAGCAUCCUUGAAUUCGGCCUCAGAAACUUUCCCCACCGCCAUCAAGUCCCCAAAUAUAUCCUGUUUGGCCUCGGCGUGGAUCCAUAUUUCAUACAGAUCCCGCAAAAUGUCAGGAAAUGUAGAAGCAUGGGAAGAGGACGAUUGAGCCAAUAACUGGGACUUCUCGGCUUCAAGGGCAAUAACUAGUUCAUUAAGGCCUGAAUUUUCUAUCUCUAACUCCCCUAUACUCUCAUCGAGUCGCUCCUCUCUGAGCCUCGUCGUCUCCAAAUCACUCGCCCGCUCUUAACGAAGAACGCGGAUUACGGCCUUCGAUGCCUCUACUUGCCUCAAAGCCGCCAACCGAUACGAUUCUGACUUCUCUAAAUUAGCUAUCCUCUCGAUGAGGUCACCACCUAGACCAUCCGCCUUGAUUAAACUUUCUUUGAGCUCGGCCCGCAGCGAGCUCACUUGGGCUUGGAGGUCGGUGCAUUAGGCCUUGACUCCCCUACUCAUCUCGAGCUCCUCUUCCUUGUCGUUCAACGCCCCUUUGAGCUCACUUCAUCUUUCAAUUACCUUCACCAAUUCGUCAUCCUCAUCCUUUAGCUCGUCUCGGAGAGCCCUAAAGUUGCUACUCUCACCAAGCCGCAUGCAAAGCUCGCGGUGCUUAUCACGAUGCUCGUAAUAUUUCCUCUCCAUCUUUUGGAAAUAUCCUUCCACCUCUCCUCUCGGCGGGAGAUUUCGAUCCUCAAGAUCACGGUCUGAAAAGAAAACUAGAGCGAGUAAGAAUAAAAUCGAAUUCGACAUGAACGAACAUACAAAUAAAAUACCUAACUUACCCUAAGAGUAAGGCCGGCUAUGCUCCUCAACAAUGUAGAGUCCUUUAGUUUCUCGAGGAUCUUACCCUCCAUGUCGGAACGGAGGGGAUCAAGAGAAGGGACCACGUCCUCCGUAUCAACUAGCAGAUCCCGGUCCAGAGGGAUCACAAUGGUCCGCACGGUUCCCUUCAAUCUCACCUUGAGCCGGGUGAGACUUCCCAUCAUCCUAACCUCCUCAGGGUCCAUAUCAGAUCCCGUCUUGUAACCAUCCUCAGCAACCCCUUUACCUCUCUCAUCGGUAAACGAGGUGGGAACAUCAACUGGCCGCGAGGACAAUGGCACAUCUCGCCACACGGUACCCAAAAACUCCACGGAUCCUCCACCAGUUCUGAUGCCGACAUCAGGAAGGGGCAUGCUCUCUAUAGCUCCCGCUGAUGGCAGGACCUCAAACGGAAAAUUUUCACCGUCUUCAGGCACAACGGAGGUCGGUUCGCGUUCGUUCCUUAUAGAAUCUACGACUCGAAUUGUCCUAUCGCCAACAUUCACCGACCUUCUUUUACGAGGGACCAAAUCAUCCUCGCUCGGUGAAGACUCUUCAUCUAUUAAAUGAAGAAAGGGAAAGGCCAGAGUCUUUGGUAUUGAAACUGUCGAUGAUCAAACCGAUCUAGCUGAAACCGGAGGCCGAAUAGAAGUGGAUGGCUAGGCAAGCUUGGCCACAGUCACUGUAGGGGCGGACCCUAUUGUAGUGUUCAUCUGGCGAAAUGCAGGAGUAGGGGCCUUCGACCUUCUCGAGGAUCCCCGGGCUAAAAACAAAAGAGAAGAGAAAGAAGAUUAAGAGGUCGAUCCCCACAAAACAAUAAGAAGCAAGCGACCAGAAGACCACGGAAAUAAAGAUUCAAAAUGGGUAAACUCACCGGUUGCUGAAAGCGUGGGCCUGAACCUCUUGAUAGAUGCCGACCAUUCGCGAAUCCUCAUUGUGUGAGGCAAGACUUGGCUAACCCAGUCAUGAAUAUCCACAACCAAAGGAGGGGGCGAAAUCUCUGCUGGACGAGGAGAAGACAGAGUAUUAGGCUACAAUCAAAAUGAGCAAAAUAAGUGCUUACUAAAAGCUACUUACGGGCACAAUUCCAUGCCUCUGGAAAUCCAUUCGCAUUUGCCACCACGUCCUCGGUCUUUACGUAGAAGUAGUUAAGCCAGAAUCGACGAUUUGUUUUAUCGUCCAUUUUCACUACUAAACUUUUACUUCCUCGGUGACAAAGAUACAACAUCAUCCCCCUAUAGAAACUGGGGGCGAAGAGGUGCAUCAGGUGGCGAAGAGAGAUCCCGCGGCCGGCCAAUUCUGCGUACUUCGUCAACAUGCAGAUGAGUUUGUAGAUGUAAGGUGAAAGUUGGUCCGGGCAGACGCCGUAGUAGCGGCAAAAUUCCUGGAAGAUGUGUUAACCAUAUUUGUUUAUGAAUGAAGGAGGUAUAAACACAGAAGAGUCAAGAGUAGCAGGAGCCGCCAGAAUCAGUGAAAGCAAGAAUAUAGAAGUAAGAUCAAAAGAGCAAAGAUUCUGAAUGAGGAAGGAAGAAGAAGGUAUGAAGGUCCAAUACUUAGACUGCAAAGAGUAAGGCAAAUGAUUUUGUAUCCAUAUUUAUAAGAGUUGAGGCAUCAAUAUAGAGAAAGCAAACCGUCGUUAACCAGCUCAGGAAUCGAAGAGGUAGAGGCACAAGAAACGAUGCAAGGUAUCGGGAAAAUUCAUAAUAAUGACGAAUGAUGACAUGACAUCUGUGAUGACCCAAAAUGUUAUCUUAUGUUUUAGAACUCGAUUCUGCACUCUUAAGCCUUAAAAAUCUCAUUUUCACCUUUCUCGAUUUGCGUGCACUAAUCCGGGCGUGUUUCCGAAAAACUUUUAUGUUGAAAAUUGAUGAAAAUAAGACUUUUGCCUUAAAAGUUUAUUUUAGUUAAUUUCGGUCAACAUUUUUGGUAAACGGGCUCAGAUCUAUAUUUUGACGGUCCCGGUGGGUCCGUAUCGAAUUAUGGGACCUAGGCGUAUGCCCGGAAUCGAAUUCGGAGGUCCCUAGCUCGAGUUAUAAAUUUUUGAUGAAAUUUAAAAGUCUGAUUUUUUUUUAAGAAUUGGUUGAUAUUUGGCCAUGUUGAUACCGUGUACGUAUUUUGGUUCCGGGACCCAGUAUAGGUCCAAUAUAAUAUUUUUGACUUACCUGUGAAAGUUUGUGAGAAACGGAGUUGGUUUGACGUGAUUCGGACGUCUAGUUGAGAAGAUAGGNNNNNNNNNNNNNNNNNCCUAUGCCUAAUUAUUACGUGUUUAGACUAGUGUUGUUAAAUUGAUCGUUCUUAUUAUGAUUACGGAUUCUCUGGUGAUAAUUGAGUAUUUAUUUCAAAGUUGAGAUUGAUAUUGUGGAACCAAAUGUUAAAGUAAGGCUUGUACUUGUUAUUCUAUCUCCCUAUUGUUAUUUAUGCAUUGCAUUAUGGUAAGGGAGAGUGUUAAUGCACGAAGGGUGAUGUCGUGUCAUAUUGUGAGUAUUAAUGCACGAAGGGUGAUACCGUGCCAUAUUGCGAGUGUUAAUGCACGAAGGGUGAUGUCGUGCCAUAUUGUGAGUGUUAAUGCACGAAGGGUGAUACCGUGCCAUAUUGCGAGUGUUAAUGCACGAAGGGUGAUGUCGUACCAUGAUAUGAGAGUUAAUGCACGAAGGGUGAUGUCGUGUCGUUUAUAUUGAUUUAUGGAGAGACUGGGAGUAAAAGCACGAAGGGUGAUGCCGUGCAUUUUUACUUUACUGUAUUCAUGUUCCUGUUGAUUCAUAAUAUAUUGGUUGUUCCAGUUAUCAUUCUACUGUAGUUCUUUAUCUCGUAUUUCCCCCAGCAUGUUUCCCCAUCCCGAUAUCUCCUGUCUAAUCCUUUAUUACUGUUAUUUGUAUAUACAUUGUUAAACUGUACAGGUUUCUUUGUAGGUGCCUUGCCUUAACCUCGUCACUACUUCAUCGAGGUUAGGCUCGACACUUACCAGUACAUGGGGUCGGUUGUACCGAUACUGCACUCUGUACUUUCUGUGCAGAUUUUGGUACCGGCUCGGGUUGAUCGAGAUUUUGCUAUUGGACCGCUAUCCAGAGACUCAAGCUAAAUCUGUCGGCAUUCACAGAACUUGAAGUCCCCGUCUAUCUUUUAUGUACUAUUGUUUCUUUCAUUCAUACAGUUGUAUUUCUUUCAGACUAUUACUUGUAGUAAAUUCGAGAAUGCUCGUGAAUUGUGACUCCAGAUCCGGGUGGUAGUAAUUAAUACAGUUUUUAUAUUAUUCCGCACUUAUUAUAUUUCACCUUAGUUAAUUUGCUGAAUGGGAUACGGGUUGGUUUAAUGAUUCUCUAACGUUAGCUUGCAUAGCAAGUGAAAUGUUAGGCGUCAUCACGGUCUCUACGGUGGGUAUUCCGGGUCGUGACAAGUUGGUAUUAGAGCACUAGGUUGCCUAGGUCUCACGAUUCACGAGCAAGCUUAGUAGAGUCUGGAGGAUCAGUACAGAGACGUCUGUGCUUAUCUUCCAUAGUCUAUGAAGUUUAGGAACAAAUUUCUACUUCUAUUCUCCUCUGUCGUGCAAUGUUGUUUUCUCAAUACUGAUUGAACUCUUCUACUCUUGUUCUCUCGGAGAUGGCGAGAACACGUACCGAUUCCUCAGCUGAGCAACAGUUAGAGCCUCCAGUGGUAGCUCCUACGAGGGGCAGAGGUCAAGGCCGAGGUUGUGCCAGAGGCCGAGGUAGGGGCAGGGCUCAGCCUAGAGCCCGAGCAGCAGCCCUAGCAGUGGAGCCUCAGAUAGAUCUUGACGAGGAGGUUCCAGCCCAGACUGUUCCUACCGGGCCAGCUCAGGUUCCGGAGGGGUUCAUUGCUACCCAGUACUUUAGGAUGCUUUGGUCCGUUUGGUGGGCCUUAUGGAGAGUGUGGCCCAGACUGGAGCAUUUCCCAUGGAACCAGUAGUCUCUCAGGCUGGAGGAGGAGCCCAGACUCCCCCUACUCCCUCUCCAGAGCAGAUAGCUCCCUAGUAUCAGGUUCCAACAGCUCAGCCAGUCGGAGUAGUUCAGUCGGUUAUUGUGGCACAGGUCGGAGAUGGGCCAGCUAUGUCUUCUGAGGCUUUGUGGAGGUUGGACAUGUUUACCAAGCUCUUCCCAGUUCACUUCAGUAGUGCUCCUUCAGAGGAUCCCCAGGAGUAUCUUGACAGCUGUCACGAGGUUCUACGAAACAUGGGUAUAAUGGAGACCAAUGAGGUCGAUUUUGCUGCAUUUCAGAUGACUGGUUCCGCCAAGAAAUGGUGGAGAGAUUACUUGUUGAACAGACCAGCUGGGUCGCCUGCUCUUACUUGGGACCAAUUCUCUCAGCUAUUCAUAGAGAAGUUUCUGCCUAUCAUAUUGAGAGAGGAGCGUCGCCGUCAGUUUGAGCGUCUUCAGCAGGGCAAUAUGACUGUCACUCAAUAUGAGACCCGUUUUGUGGAUUUUGCCCGUCAUGCUAUUCUUCUGCUUCCUACCGAAAGUGAGAGGGUGAGGAGGUUUAUUGAUGGACUUGCUCAGCCUAUCAGAUUGCAGAUGGCUAAGGAGACUGGGAGUGAGAUUUCUGUUCACGCGGCUGCUAAUGUCGCUAGACGAGUUGAGAUGGUUCUUACUUAAGGAGGUCAGGGGUCUGACAAGAGACCUCAUUAUUCCGGUGAGUUCAGCGGUGCCUCAUCUAGAGGCAAGGGUACUUUUGGUAUAGGCCAUCCUCCCAGGCCAUUUUAUUGAGCACUCCAGGCAUCCCACGGUGCCUCAGGUGGUCGUAGCCCUCAGAUGCAUUAUUCCAACCAGCUAGCCUACAGUGCACCAUCAGUUCCUAUUAGUACACCUCCACUCCAGAGUUAUCAGGGUGAUUAUUCAGGUCAACAGGGUCAGUUUCAGGGUCAGCAGUCACAUCAACCGAGGUUAUGUUAUACUUGUGGUGAUCCGAGGCACAUUGCUAGAUUUUUCCCUCGGGCAACGGGUAGCGCAUAGCAUCAGAGUUCUCGUGCCAUGGUUCCGGCACCAGUUGCUGCACCACCUGCUCAGCCAGCCAGAGGCAGGGGUCAGACAGCCAGAGGUAGAGGCCAGACUGUUAGAGGUGAAGGUUAGGCUGUUAGAGGUGGAGACCAGCCGGCUAGAGGUCGUCCUAGGGACAUAGUUCAGGAUGGUGGGGUCCAGCCCCGGUGUUAUGCUUUCCUAGCUAGGCCUGAGGCUGGAGUCAUCUGACGCUGUUAUCAUAGGUACUGUUUCAGUUUGCAGUAGAGAUGCUUUAGUUCUAUUUGAUCCGGGAUCUACUUACUCAUAUGUGUCAUCUUAUUUUGCUUCAUAUUUGGUUGUGCCUUGUGAUUCUUUAAGUGCUCCUGUGUAUGUGUCCACACCUAUGGAAGAUGCUAUUAUUAUAGAUCGUGUUUAUCGUUCGUGUGUGGUCACCAUUGGGAGUUUUGAGACUCGUGUAGAUCUUCUACUUCUUGAUAUGGUUGAUUUUAAUGUCAUACUAGGUAUGGAUUGGCUGUCACCCUAUCAUGCUCUAUUAUAUUGUCACGCCAAGACGGUGACCUUAGCCUUGCAGGGGUUGCCUCGAUUAGAAUGGAGAGGGAUUCUUUGCCAUUUUUCCAGUAGGGUUAUCUCUUAUGUGAAGGCUCGACAUAUGGUCGAGAAGUGGUUUCUAGCUUAUUUGGCUUAUGUCCGCGAUUCUAACGCGGGGGUUCUUUCCAUGGAUUCAGUGCCAGUUAUUCGUGAGUUCCAGAGCUGUUUCCUGCAGACCUGUCGGGGAUGCCACCCGAUAGGGACAUUGAUUUCUGUAUUGAUUUGGCUCCGGGUACUCAACCCAUUUCCAUUCCGCCAUACCGCAUGGCCCCGCUAGAGUUGAAAGAAUUAAAGGAACAAUUACAAGAUUUGCUUGAUAAGGGCUUCAUUAGACCUAGUGUAUCACCCUGGGGUGCACCAUCAAGAACAAGUACCCAUUACCGAGGAUUGAUAAUUUAUUUGAUCAGCUUCAGGGUGCCCAAAUAUUUUCAAAGAUUGAUUUGAGAUCUGGCUACCAUCAGUUGAGGAUUAGGGCAUGCGAUGUCCCUAAGACAGCUUUUCGGUCUCGGUAUUGGCAUUAUGAGUUUCUAGUUAUGUCAUUUGGGCUGACAAAUGCCCCAACAUCAUUCAUGGAUUUGAUGAACCGGGUGUUCAAGCCCUACUUAGAUUCCUUUGUGAUUAUGCUUAUUGAUGAUAUCUUGGUCUAGUCCCACAACCGAGAGGAGCACGAGCAACACCUUCAGAUCGUUCUUCAGACUCUGAGAGAUAGUUAGUUAUAUGCUAAGUUCUCAAAAUGUGAGUUUUGGUUGAGUUCAGGUGCUUUCUUGGGUCACGUUGUAUCAGUAGAGGGUAUUCAGGUGGAUCCUAGGAAGAUUGAGGCAGUUUAGAACUGGCCUAGACCCACAUCAGCUAUAGAGAUCCGUAGUGUCCUGGGUUUGGCGGGCUACUACCGUCGAUUUGUGGAGGGGUUUUCAUCAAUAGCAGCCCCGUUGACUAGGUUGACCCAGAAGGGUGCCCCGUUCGGGUGGUCAGAUGAGUGUGAGGCGAGCUUCCAGAAGCUCAAGACAGCUUUGACUUCGGCACGGUAUUGGUGUUACCCACAGGUUCAGGAUCUUAUACAGUAUAUUAUGACGCAUAUCGUAUUAGUCUGGGUGCGGUAUUGAUGCAGGGUGGUAAGGUUAUUGCAUAUGCUUUGCGGCAGCUGAAGGUUCAUGAGAAGAAUUACCCUGUUCAUGAUCUAGAGCUGGCAGCCAUUGUUCACGCACUGAAGAUUUGGAGGCACUAUAUUUACGGCAUGCCAUGUGAGGUAUUCAUGGAUCAUCGGAGCUUGCAGUAUUUGUUCAAGCAGAAGGAACUCAAUUUGAGGCAGAGGAGGUGGUUGGAGCUAUUGAAAGACUAUGAUAUCACCGUAUUGUAUCAUCCCGGGAAGGCUAAUGUGGUGGUCGAUGCUUUGAGUAGAAAGUCAGCUAGUAUAGGUAGCCUUGCUUAUAUUCCAGUUGGUGAGAGACCGCUUGCAUUGGAUGUUCAGGCCCUUGCCAAUCAGUUCGUGAGGUUGCAUGUUUCUGCGCCCAGCCGUGUUCUAGCUUGUACAGUUGCUCGGUUUUCUUUGUUUGAGCAUAUUUGAGAUCGGCAGUAUGACGAUCCUCAUUUUCUUGUCCUUAGAGACACAAUGCGGCAUGGUGGGGCCAAGCAGGUUACUGUUGGAGAUGAUGGAGUUUUGAGGAUACAUGAUCGUAUUUGUAUGCCUAAUGUCGAUGGACUUCGUGAGUUGAUUCUUGAAGAGGCCACAGUUCCCGGUAUUCUAUUCAUCCGGGCGUCGCCAAGAUGUAUAAGGACUUGCAGAAGCAUUAUUGGUGGAGGAGGAUGAAGAAAGACAUAGUUGCAUAUGUAUCUCGGUGUCUAAAUUGCUAGCAGGUAAAGUGUGAGCAUUAGAGACCUGGUGGUUUUCUUCAGAAGAUAGAGAUUCCUGAGUGGAUGUGGGAGCGUAUCACUAUGGAUUUUGUCGUUGGACUCCCACGGACUCAGAGGAAGUUCGAUGCAGUUUGGGUCAUUGUGGACAUGCUGACCAAGUCAGCACACAUCAUUCCUGUGGCAGUUACUUAUUCUUCGGAGCGGUUGGCAGAGAUUUACAUUUGUGAUAUCGUCCAUCUCCACGGUGUGCCCAUGUCUAUCAUUUCUGAUCAAGGUACACCAUUCACCUCGCACUUCUGGAGGGCAGUACAACAUGAGUUGGGUAUGCGAGUUGAGUUGAGCACAACAUUCCAUCCUCAGAUGGAUGGGCAGUCCGAGCGUACUAUUCAGAUCUUGGAGGAUAUGCUCCACGCAUGUGUUAUAGAUUUCGGAGGAUCAUGGGAUCAGUUCUUGCCCCUUGCAGAGUUUGCCUACAACAACAACUACCAGUCGAGCAUUCAGAUGGCUCCCUAUGAGGCAUUAUAUGAUAGGCGGUGCCGGUUGCCAGUUGGGUGGUGGUUCGAGCCGGGAGAGGCUUGGUUGUUGGGCACAGACUUAGUACAGGAUGCCUUGGAUAAGGUCAAGAUUAUUCAGGAUCGACUUUGCACAGCUCAGUCCAGGCAAAAGAGUUAUGCCGACCGUAGAGUUCGUGAUGUUGCAUUCAUGGUCGGGGGGAGAGAGUGUUAUUCGUGUAUCACUUAUGAAGGGUGUAAUGAGGUUCGGAAAGAAGGGUAAGUUGAGCCCUAGGUAUAUCAGACCUUUUGAGAUUAUGGAGAGAGUGGGAGAGGUGGCUUACAGGCUUGCAUUGCCACCUAGUUUAGCAGUUGUUCAUCCGGUAUUCCAUGUAUCCAUGCUUCAAAAGUAUCACCUUGAUCCGUCCCAUGUGUUAGAUUUCAGCUCUGUCUAGUUGAACAAGGAUUUGAAUUACGAGGAGGAGUCGGUAGCUAUUCUAGCCCGGCAAGUUCACCAGUUGAGAUCAAAGAGUUACCCUUCAGUUCGAGUGCAGUGGAGAGGUCAGCCUAUUGAGGUAGCUACUUGGGAGUCCGAGUCCGAUAUGCGGAGUAGAUAUCCCCACCUUUUCACCAGCCCAAGUACUUUUCUAUGUCCGUUCGAGGACGAACAAUUGUUUUAGAGGUGGAGAAUGUGAUGACCCAAAAGGUCAUCAUAUGUUUUAGAACUCGAUUCUGUGCUUUUAAGCUUUAAAAAUCUCAUUCUCACCCUCCUCGAUUUAUGUGCGCAGUCCGGACAUGUUUUCGGAAAACUUUUAUGUUGAAAAUUGAUGAAAAUAAAACUUUUGCCUUAAAAGUUGAUUUUAGUUGACUUCGGUCAACAUUUUUGGUAAACGGGCUCAAAUCCAUGUUUUGACGGUCCUGGUGUGUCCGUAUCGAAUUAUGGGACCUGGGCGUAUGCCCGGAAUUGAAUUCGGAGGUCCCUAGCUUGAGUUAUAAAUAUUUGAUGAAAAUUAAAAGUUUGAAUUUUUUUUAAGACGGUGUUGAUGUUUGGCCUUAUUGAUACCGGUCCGUAUUUUGGUUCUGAAUACCGGUAUAGGUCCAAUAUAAUAUUUAUGACUUACCUGUGAAAUUUGGUGAGAAACAGAGUUGGUUUGUCGUGAUUCAGACGUCUAGUUGAGAAGAUAGGAAUUUUAAAGUGUUCUUGAGAAUUUCAUUUGAUUUGGUGCUAAAUUCGUAGUUCUAGAUAUUAUUUUGGCGAUUUGAUCGUGCGAGCAAGUGCGUAUGAUGUUUUUAGACUUGUGCGCAUGUUUGGUUUGGAGCCCCGAGGGCUCGGGUGAGUUUCGGAUAGGCUACGGGAUGUUUUAGAUUUAAGAAAAUCUGGUAUUUCUGUUGUAUCUGCUAUGCUGUGCUUCGCAAUCGCGUAGUCACUCUUGCGAUCGCGAAGGGGAACCUGGGCUGGGGGAGGAUUUACUCUAUGCAAAUGCGAGACCAUGAGGGGGAGUUGCUCUAUGCGAAUGUGACCUAUCGAAUGCGAACGCGUAGCUUUUGCUAGGCUGGGUAGGGGACCUGGGAAAGUUCUAUGUAAACGCGAGCCCUUUCACGCGAACGCGAAGGUAAGGCGGGCUAAACCUUCGCGAACGCGUAGAGCCAUCCGCGAUCGUGUAGGUUUUUAGGAGGCUGCUCUUCGCGAAUGCGACAGAGUCCACGCGAUCGCGAUGAACACUGUCGCCCAGCACUUAACAGAAUCCAAACACGGGAUUUAGCCAAAAAAAUUCAUUUUCUCAAAAACCAAACGGUGAGAGGCGAUUUUCAAGAGUCAUUUCUUCCCCCAAAGUGUUGGUAAUGUGAUUCUAAAUCAUUUUCUUUCAAUUACCCAUUACAUUUCAUGAAUUAUCAACCUAAAAUCUAGAGUUUUCAUGGUAGAAUUUGGGGUUUGGGUAGAAUCUAGGGAUUUCAGAAAUUUGGGGAUUUAGACUUCAAUUUGAAGUCGGAUUCCAAAACCAAUUAUAUAUCUGUGCUCGGGGAUGAAUGGGUAAAUGGAUUUUGGUCCGAACCUCGGGUUUUGACCAAGCGGGCCCGGGGUCGAUUUUCGACCUUUUGGAGGAAAAUUUGGGAAAUUUAUUUUAUGCAAUGUAAUUGAUUCCUUUAGCAAUAUUUGAUAUUAUUGAGUCAUUCUUGAAUAGAUAUGAGUGGUUUGGAGGUGAAUUCUCGAGGAUAAGCUGUGAUUGAGAAUUAAGUGGCUUUCGGAGCAAGGUAAGUGUUGUGUCUAACCCUGACUUGAGGGAAUUAGGAACCUCAGAUUAUUUGCUAUGUGAAACUCAUGUGAGCGGCGUAUAUGUGAGGUGACGAGUACUUAUGCGCCGCCAAUUUACCUGUUUUCCCUCUUUUCUUCCAUUUUUUUAAUAUUGUCUCUUUCCUAUGCCUAAUUAUUACGUGUUUAGACUAGUAUUGUUAAAUUGAUCGUUCUUAUCAUGAUUACGAAUUCUCUAGUGAUAAUUGAGUAUUUAUUUCAAAGUUGAGAUUUAUAUUGUGGAACCAAUUGUUGAAGUAAGGCUUGUACUUAUUAUUCUAUCUCUCUGUUGUUAUUUAUGCAUUGCAUUAUGGUAAGGGAUAGUGUUAAUGCACGAAGGGCGAUGUCGUGCCAUGUUGUGAGUGUUAAUGCACGAAGGGUGAUACUGUGCCAUAUUGUGAGUGUUAAUGUACGAAGGGUGAUGUCGUGACAUGAUAUGAGAGUUAAUGCACGAAGGGUGAUGCCGUGCCGUUUCUAUUGAUUUAUGGAGAGACUGAGAGUAAAAGCACGAAGGGUGAUGCCGUGCAUUUUUUUCUUUACUGUAUUUGUGUUCCUGUUGAUUCAUAAUAUAUUGGUUGUUCCAGUUAUUAUUCUACUGUAGUUCUUUAUCUCGUAUUUUCCCCAACAUGUUUCCCUAUCCCGAUAUCUCCUGUCUAAUCCUUCAUUACUGUUAUUUGUAUAUAUAUUGUUAAACUGUACAGGUUGAUUUGUAGGUGCCUUGCCUUAGCCUCGUCACUACUUCGUCGAGGUUAGGCUCGACACUUACCAGUACAUGGGGUCAGUUGUACUGAUACUGAACUCUGCACUUUCUGUGCAUAUUUUGGUAUCGGCUCGAGUUGAUCGAGAUUUGGCUAUUGGACCGCUAUCCGGAGACUCAAGGUAAAUCUGUCGGUGUUCACAGACCUUGAAGUCCCCGUCUAUCNNNNNNNNNNNNNNNNNNNNNNNNNGUAGUAAAUUCUAGAAUGCUCGUGAAUUGUGACUCCAGAUCCGGAUGGUAGUAAUUAAUAAUAGUUUUUAUAUUAUUCCGCACUUAUUAUAUUUCACCUUAAUUAAUUUGCUGUUAUUUACUGAAUGGGAUAAGAGUUGGUUUAAUAAUUCUCUAGCGUUGGCUUGCCUAGCAAGUGAAAUGUUAGGCACCAUCACGGUCCCGACGGUGGGAAUUUCGGAUCAUGACAAUGUCACUUUGAAAUGACGUGACCUCGGGUUGCAGCUCACGGAAGGCCACGUUUCCACCUUGUCUAAAACACUUCUACUCCACCUGCUCAUCUAAACUUCUCAACCAUAACUAACAGAGUCCGUUCAUCGAGGUCGCCUAGGGUCGACAUCAAUAAGUGGAGGGACUAAAUGUAUAGGUCAAAAUCUACCUCAAUCGAAUUUAGCAUGGAGUGGUACUAUGGAGUGAUGUGGCCGAGGUCGACUAGUAGACAACGGGAAAAAAGAGGGGCAGUCAAUAAUUGCCAAGGUCAAAUAUCAAGGACGGUACUAACUGCUAGUUUUUGUAACACAAUAUUUAAGGGAAUAUUCCAUUGAAUAUUCUCUGUACAGGUACUUUUAGGGUUUACUGGGGAUAUGUCCCAUAUAAAUAGAAAAAGAGAUAAGGGGGAAGGGCAUGUAAGUUAUUCGGAUAAGAGUUGUUUUUGAGAAGAAGACUCUCUAGAAAAGAUACAAACACUACCUUUCUAAUAAGAUUCUACCAUCCAUUAUUCCAUACUUUACCAUCAGAUCCGAGAAUAGUUCAAAUAUUCUAGGAUUUGUCUAUCACGCAUCUCUGCCAGAAAGAAGAAUCAUCCACCUCAUUCGAUGUUGGGUGAAUCAUUCUCCUUAUUUACGUUUAUGCCAUUUAUUGUUAUUUAUUGCUUGAUAUUCUUCCAUCAUUACUUCUCUUGAAAUAUUAAAUGCAUACUGCAUUUAAUCCCUCACUAACACUAUCCUGCAUUAUUAGUGUUAGCUAGUUAUAAAUUCAAGGAUAUUAUUAUCAACUAGGAUUAAUCCCUCAUUACACAAAAUUGAUUAGUUUUUCCGAAGAUUUGCACUUUUUGGUCAAAUACAAAAUCCUCUUCCAGGACUCAAGAAAAACUUGGUUGCCUAAAAAUCGUGAAGGCGAGGUAGAGGCCAUGGUAGUAUGGUACUGUCAUGGGUGGCAAUGGAGGUUUUCGCUGGGAACAACAUCUUGAUGUGAAACCCCAUUCUUUAUAGAUAUGAUAAAAAAACUAAAGGAUCUAAGUUUGCUAUAGAAAUCAAAGUUGAUUGAUUGAAUUUUAAAUUCAACAGAGAAGAUGAUAACGCCGGAAACAAAGGAGAAAGGGGGAAAAAAGGAAAGAUAUAAAAAGUUAAAAAUUUAGUGGGACCCACAAAAUUUCCUUGAUCUUAAAUGAUAUAUUUAAGGAUUAAAUAAUAAAAAUGCUGACAUGUCAAUUUAUUUGAGGGAUCCUGAGUGCCACAAUGACAAAACGUUAGGGUUGUUGGUGUUUUUUCUUACUUUGUUAAUGGUAAGGUUGGACUUGAACGAAAAGUAUAACGGGGGACAAAUAUAAACUAUAUACAAUAGUACAAGGAGAAAUUCAGACUAUUUCCCUUUUAAUUCCCCUCAGCGGUCCCCCCUUUUUAACGCAAAAAAACUCUAUUGGAGCCCAUCGAUUCCACAAAAAGUAUAGAUUCUCGGUAUUGUAGCAAGCUAAUAUCGGAUCUAAGGCAUUAUCGCAUAGUGGAUUGCUCGUUUCGGCGCCCAAAUCAUCAAAUCUUCACCUUUCCAAAAAUUUAAAAUCGAGGUAUUCCGACUUUUUUUUUGUUAAAACUCAUGUAUUAAAAAUGCCUAUUAGUUGUUUUUCACUAUGAUAUAUGUUUUUUUGUGAUUGUUUUGCGAUUUAAUUAAUUUAUUAUUUUUUUAUCCAGAUUAGAUUAUUAUUGUGCUAUAAAAUAAUUAGUAAAAUAAAUAAAUUAUUAUUUUAUGAAUAAUUAAUGUUAUUAGUUGUUAUAAAAAAUAUUUAUUAGUUAUUUUUUACUGUGGUAUAUGUAUUAUUGUGAUUGUUUUAUGAUUAAAUUAAUUUGUUAUUUCUUAUCCGGAUUAGAUUAUUUAUGUGCUAAAAGAUUAGUAAAAUAGAUAAAUUAUUAUUUUAUAAAUAAUUAAUGUUAUUUAGUUUUCUUUAGUGUUAUGUUGUGCCCGUAAUUGUAAUGUAUUGCCAGUAAUUAUAAUGUGGUACCCUUUAGCGUAGUACAAUGUAGUGCCCUUUAGUGUAAUAUCUUUGUAGUUAUUAAAAUUAAUUAUUUAAUUAUUUGUCAACCCCAAAAAUUAUCUCGAAUACUAGUCAACAAAUGUAAGAAAAUAACAUAAAAACAACAAUAUUUGUCAAACUAAUUAUUUUGCAUAUGAAUACUUAUUAAUUAAAUCAUGUAUUCAUAUAAAAAUUAAUUAUUUAAUUCUUUUAUACCCAAAAAUAGGUGAGUAAGAAAGAAACAUAUAAAAUAAUAAACUAACAUAUAAAAUAACAAACUAACAUAUAAUAUAAUAAACUACCAUAUAAAAUAAGAAACUAACAUAUAAAAUAAUAAACUAACAUAUAAAAUUAUAAUAUAGAAAAUGUAUCAACCUAACUAACAAUAUAGUAAAAAUAUCUACUAAAUUAAUAUUGUUAAAUUUACAGACAUCGCCAUGGAUGUUCCCCUUGUGCAUCCUGGACCUGCAUCUCUAGAGCUACUGUUGCUACAGGCCAACCAAAGAUCUUCAUGAAUAUGGGAUGGGCAGUGUUGGUCCUAGACGUAUAGACGAUAUAUGGGAGUUCAUUAGGGCCCACCCACUCCAUUCCCGUAUAGUUAGACGCCUUCAGAAUAUAAGUUUCUACAAGAUCAUAGAGAUCGGCUGGUUGCAAUUCGACUGGGCGUUGAUCAUGACUAUGAUAGAGCGGUGGCGACCGAAGACACACGUUUCAUCUAUCCAUCGGCGAGGCUACCAUCACGCUUGAGGACGUGGAGGUUAUUUUCGGGCUGCCGGUUGAUGGAUUACUUUUAGCUUACCUGCAUGCUCUCAGAGACUACAGAGGUUUGCAUUACCUGCAUAUAUUGCAGCGGUUCACCGGAUUCCAGCCAGCGAACGAGACUGCAUGUGAUGACCCAAAAGGUCAUCUUUAAAUUUAAUAAUUAUUUAUAUGUUCUGAGACCUCAAAUAGCACUAUUCAUCAUUCCUCGACUUGCAUGCGCAAUCUGUAUAAUUUUCCGGAAAGUUUUUAUAUUUAAAAUUGAUUAAAAUGUGAAAUAAAGCCUUAAAACUCAACUGAGUUGCCUUUAGUCAAUAUUUUGAGCAAACGGACCCGGAUCACUAUUUUGACAGUUUCAGUAGGUCCGUAUCGUGAUUUAUGACUUGUGCGUAUGCCCGGAAUUUAAUUUGGAGGUACCUAGCUCAAGUUAUGGCCAUUUAACGGAAACUAGAAAUUUAAAGGCUAAAGAUUUCCAAAGUUUGACCACAGAUUUGACUUUUUGAUACCGGGGUUGUAAUCCAAUUCUGGAAAUUUAAAUAGCUUUGCUAUGUCAUUUAUGACUUGUGUGCCAAAUUUGAAGUCAUUCCGGAUUCGUGUAAUAUGUUUUGACACGAGUUUUACAAAUUGAAAAGUUUGAAAAUCUAAAGUUCGAAUUGAGGUGUAAAUUGUAAUUUCAGUAUUGUUUGAUGUGAUUUGAGACCCGGAGUAAGUCCGUAUUAUGUUAUGGAACUGGUUGGUAUAAUUGGACGAGGUCCCGAUGGGCUCGGGUCAGUUUCAGAUCAUUUUCGUAAAGGUUUGCAGGUCUGGUUCUGGUGUUUCGCACCUGCGACUUUUGGAGCGCAGGUGCGACCCCGCUUCUGCGGAGAGCCUCGUCGCUUCUGCAAUUUUGGAUAUGGGCAGCCUACUCGCUUCUGCGAGAAAAUGGUCGCAGAUGCGACUACCGCUUCUGUGGUUAGGCCUUCGCAAAUGCGGAAGGCACCGCUUCUGCGGCUCCUUCAUGCGCUUCUACGCAGCCGCAAAUGCGGCUCAACCUCCGCAGAUGCGGACACACGCUGGGAAAGCCUAUUUCGCAGAUGCAAGAUUUUUCUCGCAAAUGCGAGCUCGCAGUUGCGAAAAUAUGUCUGCAGAUCCGAAAAUACUGGACAAAAUGCUUAAAAAUCAGGAGUUAGCCAUUUUUACUCAUUUUUGAGUUUUGAGUCACGGAUUUGGGCGAUUCCAAAGGGGUUUUUCACGACUUUGAAUUGGGUAAGUGUUCUAUAACUAAAAAUGAUUAUAUUUCAUGAAUCCAUGUCUAUAUGCAUCAUUAAUUUCAGAUUUAGAUGGAAGAAAUUGGAAUUUUUGUAAAACUUACCUAAAACGAAAAAUUUAGAUUUGAAGGUCCAUUUGACAUUGGAAUUUGAUAAUUUUUGUAUUGUUGGACUCACCUCGGAACGGGUGUUCGGAUUUCAUAAGUUUUUUUGAGAUUCUAGACAUGGGCCCCACUGUUGAUUUUUGAGAUGAAUUUUGGAAUUUAAUCCGAAAAAUUAAUAAAUUCAUAUGGAAUUAAUUCCUACGAUUUGUAUUGAGUAUAUUGAAUUGUUUAUGACUAGAUUUGAGUAUUUUGGACACGAAUUCGUGAGGCAAAGGCUUAUUGAAUUCUUAUAUUUGGUUGCAAAGCGAGGUAAGUGUCGUGGUUAACCUUGACUUGAGGGAGUAGGACUUAUUUGUCUAUUUGCUACGUGAUUUAAUGUGCGGGUACACCGUAUAUGUGAGGUAACGAGUAAUUAUGCGUUGUGGUUGAGUCAAAACAUGCGGGUGGAAUUUGUUUAUUGUGAAUAAUUGCCUAUUUAAUUAAGAUAUUCCUGCUUAAGUUUAUUAUUGAUUAUUUGAUCAUUAUUCGUGAAAUUAUUAUUCAUUUAAUUAUUGGUGAAUAUUUUGGAAGGUGAAGUCGGUAUUCUGGUAUUGAAUUGAUUGAUAAGUGUAUAUCCCCGCUUUUAAAUACUCUUCCGAAUUUAUAUUAUUAUUUUCAUAGUAAGGAAUAGUGUAAAAACACGAAAGGGUAUUGUCGUGCCAUUUGUGAGUGUAAAAGCACGAAGGGUGAUGCCGUUUCAUUUUCAGAGAGCGUAAAAGCACGAAGGGUUAUGCCGUGCCAAAAGAGAGUUCAAGUACGAAGGAUGAUGCCGUGCCAAUUAUUAUUAUUAUUAUUAUUAUUAUUAUUAUUAUUAUUAUUAUUAUUAUUUAUUAUUAUUAUUAUUAUUAUAUUAUUAUUAUUAUUAUUAUUAUUUAUUUAUCAGUUUAUGAGAGGAAUGAGAGUAAAAGUACGAAGGGCGGUGCCGUACCAUUUUCAUAUCAUCAGUUGCUCAUUUUAUUGUUGAGGAAAUAUUUGGCUGCUAAAUGAUAAUUCUCCUGCUGAAAUUAUUAUAUCAACCCCCUUCGCAUGUUCCCUCCUAAAUUUAUAAAGUGUUAUUUACUGUUUUAUUGUUGCUUCGUAUUUGUAUAUACUUGUACAGGUUGUUUACGUAGGUGUCAUGUCAUAGCCUCGUCACUACUUCAUCGAGGUUAGGCUCGACACUUACGGAGUACAUGGGGUCGGUUGUACUCAUACUACACUCUGCACUUCUUGUGCAGAUUUUAGAGUUGGUCCCAGUAGCGUACCAUAGACGUGCUCGAAUUCAGCUACUCAGAGGAUACUUGAGGUAUAACUGCACAACGUUCGCAGUUCUGAAGUCCCCUUCUAUCUUAUCUCAGUUGUGUAUUAUCUUUCAAACAACUUGAAAUUUAUUUAGACCUUUAUUUGUAUUAUCCUAGUAUCUCGUGCACUUGUGACACCAGAUUCGGGGAUGUAUUUUAAUAAUUCGAUAUUUAUUGUCUUCUACAUUUUAUUUCAACAAUUGACUUCUAUUUAAUUAAAUUUGAUUAAAAAUAAUUAAGAUUAUUUUAACAUUGACUUGCCUAGCAAGUGAAAUGUUAGGCGCCAUCACGAUCCUAAAGGUGGGAAUUUUGGGUCGUGACAGUAGGUAUUAGAGCACUAGGUUACUUAGGUCUCACGAGUCACGAGCAAGCUUAGUAGAGUCUGAAGGAUCGGUACGAAGACGUCUGUACAUAUCUUUCAGAGCUAUGAAGUUUAGGAACAAUAUCACUUCUUUUUUAAUCUGUCGUGCAAUCUUAUUCUAUCAUCGAUGAUUGAACCAUUCUAUUCUUAUUCUCUCGCAGAUGGUGACGAUGGACAGGGACCAGACGCCCCCGGUGGCAACUAUGACCAGGGGUAAAGGUCGAGGCCGAGGUCGUGUCAGAGACCGAGGUAGAUGCAGAGGCAGAGCUCAAGCUAGAGCUCAAGCAGCAGCACCCGUAGUAGAACCUCAGGUGGAUAUUCAGGAGGAGGUUCCAGUUCAAACAAUACCAGUUGGACCCGUUCAGGUCCCGGAAGGAUUCAUAGCUACUCCAGUGCUUCAGGACGCCCUAGUCCGUUUGGUGAGUCUUAUGGAGGGCGUGACCCAGAAUGGUACGUUUCCAGUGGCACCAACCGUCUCACAAGUUGGGGGAGGAGCACAAACUCCUACUACUCCCGCUCCGGAGCAGAUGGCUCCCCAGUAUCAGGCUCCAGCAGCCCCGCCAAUUGGGGUAGUUCAGCCAGUUAUUGCGGCACAGGCCGGUGAUAUGGCCGCCAUGUCAUCUGAAGCCUUAUUGAGACUGGAUAAAUUUACUAAGCUCUUUCCAAUUCACUUCAGUGGUACACUUUCUAAGGACCCACAGGAUUAUCUUGACUGCUGCCAUGAGGUGCUGCGGAUCAUGGGUAUAGUUGAGACCAAUGAGGUCGAUUUUGCUGUAUUUCAGAUGACGGGUUCCGCCAAGAGGUGGUGGAGAGAUUUUAUGUUGACCAGACCAGCUGGGUCACCUACACUGACUUAAGAGCAGUUCUCACGACUAUUUCUAGAGAAGUUCCUCCCUAUCACAUUGAGAGAGGAUUUUCGCAGGCAGUUUGAGCGUCUCCAGCAGGGCAGUAUGAUUGUUACUCAGUACGAGACCCGUUUUGUGGAUCUAGUGAGGGAGAGAAAGUGAGGAGGUUUAUUGAAGGACUUACUCACCCUAUCAGGCUUCAUAUGGCCAAGGAUACCGGAAGUGAGAUUUUCUUUCAGGCGACUGCUAAUGUUGCUAGGAGGAUCGAGAUGGUUCUUGCACAGGAAAGAGGGCAGGGUCUGAUAAGAGGCCUCGCCAGUUUGGUGGGUUCAGUGGUGCCUCGUAUGGGGGAAAGGGUAAUUUUGGUAGGGGUCAUCCUCCCAGGCCGUUUCAUUCAGCACUCCAAGCAUCCUACAGUGCACCACCAUCUCCUAUCAGUGCACCUCGGAUCCAGAGUUUUUAGUAUGGUUACUUAGGUAGACAAGGACAAUUUUAGCAUCAGCAGUCACAACAGUCGACGUCCUAUUAUACUUGUGGUGAUCCGAGGCACAUUGCUAUAUUCUGCCCCAGGUCUCAGGGCAGCAUGCAGUAGCAGGGUUCUCGUGCUAUGAUUCCAGUACCGAUUGCUUCACCACCUGCUUAGCCAGUUAGAGGUAGGGGUCAGGCAGCUAGAGGUGGAGGUUAGACCAUUAGAGGUAGAGGUCAGGCCGUUAGAGGUGGAUGCCAGCCAGUUAGAGGCCGUCCCAGGGACGCAAUUCAGAGUGGUAGGGCCCAGCCUUGAUUUUAAGCUUUUCCAGCUAGGCUUGAGGCCGAGUCUUCCGAUGCCGUGAUUACAUCUAUUCUUUCAGUUUGCCAUAGAGAUUCUUCAGUUCUAUUUGAUCCAGGAUCUACUUAUUCCUAUGUGUCCUCCUAUUUUGCUUCAUAUUUGGUGAUGCGUCGUGAUUCUCUGAGUGCUCCUAUGUGUGUGUCCACUCCGGUGGGAGAUUCUAUCGUGGUAGAUCAUGUCUAUCAUUCAUGUAUGGUUACUAUUGGGAGUCUUGAGACUAGUGUGGAUCUUCAACUUCUUGAUAUGGUAGAUUUUGAUGUCAUCUUGGGUAUGGAUUAGUUGUCACCUUAUCGUGCUAUAUUGGAUUGUCAUGCCAAGACGGUGACCCUAGCCAUGCCAGGGUUACCUCUAUUAGAGUGGAAAGGAACUCCUGGUUAUUCUACCAGCAGGGUUAUUUCUUAAGGCUCGACGUAUGGUAGAGAAGGGGUGUCUAGCCUAUUUGGCUUAUAUUUGCAAUUCCAGUGCGGAUGUUCCUUCUAUGGACUCAGUGUUAGUUGUUCGUGAAUUUCCCGAACAGAGAUAUAGACUUCUGUAUUGAUUUGGCUUCGGGCACUCAGCCCAUUUCUAUUCCACCAUACCAUAUGGCCCCGCCGGAACUGAAAGAGCUAUUACAAGACUUGCUUGAUCAUGGAUUUAUUAGACAUAAUGUCUUGCCCUGGGGUGCACCAGUGUUAUUUGUAAAGAAGAAAGAUGGUUCAAUGCGAAUGUGUAUAGAUUAUCGACAAUUGAACAAGGCUACCGUCAUGAAAAAUUAUCCACUACCAAGAAUGUAUGACUUAUUCGAUCAGCUUCAGGGUGCCAAGGUGUUUUCAAAGAUCGACUUGAGGUCUGGUUACCAUCAGUUAAAUAUUAGGGCAUCUGAUGUCCCUAAGAUAACUUUUCGGACUCGGUAUGGGCAUUACGAAUUCCUAUUAAUGUCAUUUGGGCUGACAAAUGCCCCAACAACAUUUAUGGAUUUGAUGAAUCGGGUGUUCAAGACCUAUUUGGAUUAUUUUAUGGUUGUAUUCAUUGAUGAUAUCUUGAUUUACUCCAGCAAGUGAGAAGAGCAUGAGCAGCAUCUUCGGAGUGUGCUUCAGACUUUGAAGAAUAUUCAGUUAUAUUCCAAAUUUUCAAAAUGUAAAUUCUAGUUAGACUUAGUUGCCUUUUGGGGGCAUGUUGUAUCGGCAGAAGGCAUAAAAUUGGAUUCUAAGAAGAUUGAGGUUGUUCAUAAUUGGCCUAGACCUACUUCAGUUAUAGAUAUCCGGAGUUUCCUGGGUUUGGCAGGUUAUUAUCAUCGGUUCGUGGAUGGGUUUUCAUCUAUAACAAGCCCAUUGACCAGACUGACCCAGAAAGGUGUUCCAUUCGGAUGGUCAGACGAGUGUGAGUUGAGCUUUGAGAAGUUCAAGACUGCUUUGACUACGGCGCUAGUGUUGGUAUUACCCACAUGUUCAGGAUCUUAUAUGGUGUAUUAUGAUGCAUCUCAAGUUGGGCAUAGUGCAGUAUUGAUGCAAGAUGGCAAGGUGAUUGCAUAUGUGUCGCGGCAGUUGAAAGUUCACGAGAAGAAUUAUUUUGUUCAUGACUUAGAAUUGGCAGGCAUUGUUCAUGCGCUGAAGAUUUAGAGGCAUUACUUGUACGGUGUCUCGUGUGAGGUAUUUACUGAUCAUCGUAGCUUACAAUAUUUGUUCAAAUAAAAGGAUCUCAAUUUGAGGCAUAGAAGAUGGUUGGAGCUAUUGAAGGACUAUGAUAUCACUAUUUUGUAUCACCCCGGAAAGGCCAAUGUGGUGGUCGAUGCUUUGAGUAGAAAGGCUGUGAGUCUGGGCAGCCUUGCGCAUAUUCCGGUUGGUGAGAGGCUGUUAGCUGCAGAUGUUAAAACUUUGGCUAAUCAGUUCGUGAGGUUAGAAGUUUCAGAACCCAGUCGGGUUCUAGCUUGCACAGUCGCUCGGUCUUCUUUAUAUGAGCGCAUCAGAGAGCGGCAAUAUGAAGAUCCUCAUUUACUUGUCCUAAAGGACACGAUGAGGAACAGUGAUGCCAAACAAGUUACUGUAGGGGAAGAUGGAGUUCUACGAAUGCAGGAUCGUAUUUGUGUGCCUAAUGUGGAUGGACUUCGUGAAUUAAUUUUGGAAGAGGCUCACAGUUCCAGGUAUUCUAUUCAUCCAGGUGCCGCCAAAAUGUAUCAAGAUUUGCGGCAACAUUAUUGGUGGAGGAGAAUAAAGAAGGAUAUGGUUGUAUAUGUUAGCUCCGUGUCUGAAUUGUUAGCAAGUUAAGUACGAGCAUCAGAGACCUGCUGGUUUGCUUCAGAAGUUAGAAAUUCCUGAGUGGAAGUGGGAACGUAUCACUAUGGAUUUUGUUGUUGGGCUUCCACGGAAUCAGAGAGAAUUUGACACAGUUUGGGUCAUUGUGGACAGGUUGACCAGAUCAGCACAUUUCAUUCCAGUGACAGUUACUUAUUCUUCAGAGCGGUUAGUUGUAAUUUACAUUCGUGAGAUUGCCUGCCUUCAUGGUGUUCUCGUGUCUAUCAUUUUUGAUCGAGGUACACAGUUUACUUCGCACUUCUGGAGGGCAGUACAACAUGAGUUAUGCACGCGGGUUGAGUUGAGUACAACAUUUCAUCCACAGACAGACAGACAGUCAGAACGCACAAUUCAGAUAUUGGAAGAUAUGCUUCGCGCUUGUAUUAUAGACUUUGGAGGUUCUUGGGAUCAAUUAUUUUCACUUGCGGAGUUUGCCUAUAAUAAUAGCUACCAGUCGAUCAUUCAGACGACUUCAUAUAAGGCAUUAUACGGAAGGUGAUGUCGUUCGCCGGUUGGCUGGUUUGAACCGGGAGAGGCUCGGUUAUUGGGUACCAAUUUGAUACAGGAUGCCUUGGAUAAGGUCAAAAUUAUUCAGGAUCAACUUCGCACAGCUCAGUCUAGGCAAAAGAGUUAUGCCGACCGUAAAUUUUGUGACAUUGCAUUCAUGGUUGGAGAGAUAGUAUUUCUCGGGGUUUCACCUAUGAAAGGUGUAAUGAGAUUCAGAAAUAAGGGCAAGUUGAACCCUAGGUAUAUUGGACCCUUUGAAAUUCUUGAAAAUGUGGGUGAAGUAGCCUACAUGUUUGCACUACCACCUAGUUUAUCAGUAGUUCAUCCGGUGUUCCAUGUGUCUAUGCUCCAGAAAUAUCAUGGUGAUCCUUCCCAUGUGUUAGAUUUCAGCUCAGCCCAAUUGGACAAGGAUUUAACUUACGAAGAGGAGCCGGUAGCCGUUCUAGCUCGGCAGGUCCGACAGUUGAGGUCUAAGAAUUAUCCUUCAGUUCGGGUGCAAUGGAGAGGUCAAUCAAUUGAGACAGCUACCUGGGAGUCCGAGUCGGAUAUGAGGAGUAAAUAUCCACAACUUUUUACCAGCUCAGGUACUUUUCAAAUUCCGUUCGAGGACGAACAUUUGUUUUAGAGAUGGAGAAUGUGAUGACCCAAAAGGUCAUCUUUAAAUUUAAUAAUUAUUUAUGUGUUCUGAUCAAAUAGCACUAUUCAUCAUUCCUCGACUUGCGUUCAUCUUUAAAUUGAAUAGCUCCGCUAUGUUAUUUAUGACUUGUGUGCCAAAUUUGAAGUCAUUCCGCAUUCGUUUAAUAUGUUUUGGCACGAGUUUUACAAAUUAAAAAGUUUGAAAAUCAAAUGUUUGAAUCGAGGUGUGAAUUGUAAUUUUGGUAUUGUUUGAUGUGAUUUGAGACCCUGAGUAAGUCCGUAUUAUGUUAUGGAACUGGUUGGUAUAAUUGGACGAGGUCCCUAGGGGCUCGGGUGAGUUUCAGACGUGUUUCAAAUCAUUUUCGUAAAAGUUUGCAGGUCUAGUUUUGGUGUUUCGCACCUGCGAAUUUUGGAGCGCAGGUGCGGCCCCGCUUCUGCGGAGAGCCUCGUCGCUUCUGCGAUUUUGGAGCUGGGCAGCCUACUCACUUCUGAGAGAAAAUGGUCGCAAAUGCGACUACCGCUCUGUGGUUAGGACUUCGCAAAUGCGGAAGGCACCGCUUCUGCGACUCCUUCAUGCGCUUCUAUGCUGCCGCAAAUGCGGCUUAACCUCCGCAUAUGUGGACACACACUGGGCAAGCCUAUUUCGAAGAUGUGAGAUUUUUCUCGCAAAUGCGAGCUCGCAUAUGUGAAAAUAUGUCCGCAGAUGCGAAAAUGCUCGAAAAAAUGCUUUAAAAUCGGGAGUUAGCCAUUUUUACUCAUUUUUGAGUUUUGAGUCUCGAAUUUGGGCGAUUCCAAAGGAGGUUUUUACGACUUUGAAUUGGGUAAGUGUUCUAUAAUAAAAAAUGAUUAUAUUUCAUGAAUCCAUAUCUAUAUGCAUCAUUAAUUUCGGAUUUAGAUGGAAGAAAUUGGAAUUUUUGUAAAACUUUCCAAAAACAAAAAAUUUAGAUUUGAAAGUCCAUUUGACAUCGGAAUUUGAUAAUUUUUGUAUGGUUGGACUCGCCUCGGAACGGGUGUUCAGAUUUCAUAAGUUUUUCCGAAAUUCUAGACGUGGGCCCCACUGUUGAUUUUUUAGAUUAAUUUCGGAUUUUAAUCCGAAAAAUUAGUAAAUUCAUAUGGAAUUAAUUCAUACGAUUUGUAUUGAGUAUAUUGAAUUGUUUAUGACUAUAUUUGAGGAUUUCGGACACGAAUUCACGAGGCAAAGGUUUAUUGGAUUCUUGAAUUUGGUUGCAAAGUGAGGUAAGUGUCGUGGUUAACCUUGACUUGAGGGAGUGGGACUUAUUUGUCUAUUUGCUACGUGAUUUAAUGUGCGGGUACAACGUAUAUGUGGGGUGACGAGUACUUAUGCGUUGUGGUUGAGUCAAAGCAAGCAGGUGGAAUUUGUUUAUUGUGAGUAAUUGCCUAUUUAAUUAAGAUAUUCCUGCUUAAGUUUAUUAUUGAUUAUUUGAUCAUUAUUCAUGAAAUUAUUAUUUAUUUAAUUAUUGGUGAAUAUUUUGGAAGGUGAAGUCGGUAUUCUGGUAUUGAAUUGAUUGAUAAGUGUAUAUCCCCGCUUUUAAAUACUCUUCCGAAUUUAUAUUAUUAUUUUCAUGGUAAGGAAAGAGUGUAAAAGCACGAAGGGUAUUGUCGUGCCAUUUGUGAGUGUAAAAGCACGAAGGGUGNNNNNNNNNNNNNNNNNNNNNNNNNNNNNNNNNNNNNNNNNNNNNNNNNNNNNNNNNNNNNNNNNNNNNNNNNNNNNNNNNNNNNNNNNNNNNNNNNNNNNNNNNNNNNNNNNNNNNNNNNNNNNNNNNNNNNNNNNNNNNNNNNNNNNNNNNNNNNNNNNNNNNNNNNNNNNNNNNNNNNNNNNNNNNNNNNNNNNNNNNNNNNNNNNNNNNNNNNNNNNNNNNNNNNNNNNNNNNNNNNNNNNNNNNNNNNNNNNNNNNNNNNNNNNNNNNNNNNNNNNNNNNNNNNNNNNNNNNNNNNNNNNNNNNNNNNNNNNNNNNNNNNNNNNNNNNNNNNNNNNNNNNNNNNNNNNNNNNNNNNNNNNNNNNNNNNNNNNNNNNNNNNNNNNNNNNNNNNNNNNNNNNNNNNNNNNNNNNNNNNNNNNNNNNNNNNNNNNNNNNNNNNNNNNNNNNNNNNNNAUUAUUAUUAUUAUUAUUAUUAUUAUUAUUAUUAUUAUUAUUAUUAUUAUUAUUAUUAUUAUUAUUAUUAUUAUUAUUAUUAUUAUUAUUAUUAUUACUAUUAUUAUUAUUAUUAUUGUUGUUGUUGUUUAUUUAUCAGUUUAUUAGAGGAAUGGGAAUAAAAGCACGAAGGGCAGUGCCGUGCCAUUUUCAUAUCAACAGUUGCUCCAUUUAUUGUUGAGGAAAUAUUUGUCUGCUAAGUGAUAAUUCUCCUGCUGAAAUUAUUAUAUCAACCCCCUUCGCAUGUUCCCUCCUAAAUUUAUAAAGUGUUAUUUACUGUUUUAUUGUUGCUUCGUAUUUGUAUAUACUUGUACAGGUUAUUUACGUACGUGUCCUGUCAUAGCUUCGUCACUACUUCGUCGAGGUUAGGUUCGACACUUACGGAGUACACGAGGUCGAUUGUACUCAUACUACACUCUGCAUUUCUUAUGCAGAUUUUGGAGUUGAGGUAUAACUGCACAACGUUCGCAGUUCUAGAACUCCCCUUCUAUCUUAUCUCAUGUGUGUAUUAUCUUUCAAACAACUUGAAUUUUAUUCAGACCUUUAUUUGUAUUAUUCUAGUAGCUCGUGUACUUGUGAUACCAGAUUCGGGGAUGUAUUUUGAUAAUUCGGUAUUUAUGGUCUUCCGCAUUUUAUUUCAGUAAUUGACUUCUAUUAAUUAAAUUUGAUUAAAAAUAAUCUAGAUUAUUUUAACGUUGGCUUGCCUAGCAAAUGAAAUGUUAGGCACCAUCAUGAUUCUGAAGGUAGGGCCAGUGUUUGUAGCUGACGCCCGUCCGGCAGCAUCUGGAGGUGAUGUAUGCGGAGAUUACGGAUGAUUCACCACCGGAGGUUAUCGACCGACACACGAGAUUGGUGUUGUUGCUGAUGUUUGGUGGUGUACUGUUCCCAAACACACGAGACCUAGCCAGCUUGAGAUUUCUACAUCAUCUUUAGCGGCUAGAUGAUUUACCUGGUUACAGCUCGGGUGUAGCUAUUCUAGGUUACCUGUAUAGCCAGAUGUGUCGGGCUAGCAUGGCCUCCCAGAGAGACGUUGCCGGAUUUUUACCGCUACUGCAGGUGAAAACAUAGUCAAUUCUUUUCAUGAUUAUAACAUACAUAGUAAAAGAAUACCUUAAAUGUUUUGUCCACAAUCUUAUUAGGUUUGGGCCUGGGAGCGAUUCCUACAGUUCCAGCCACCUCUACUACCCAUCGCUCCGGAUGCACCACCUCCAGCGUUUCUCCCUUUAGCUUGGAGGUGGGUUGAUAGACGAGGCUAGGGACGCGAGUUCGAGGCUCGACAUCAUAUCCCCUAUUACAGGGAUUUGUUGGAUUUUCUUGAAGGCGCACAGGUACAUGUAUUCUUAAGUUUACUUGGUUUGGCUUUAUAUGUGGUGUUUACUCACGAUUCCUGUGUUUAAUUAAUAGUUCUUAUGGAGGCCACAGAGUGACGCGCUCAUAGCUGGUUUGCCCGAUUAUUGUUCCCGCGGACGAGCUAUGUGGAGCUCUUCUGUCCCACUGAUAUGUCUUGAUAUUGUCGAGCAUCAUGCCACCUAGCGAGUCCUUCACCAGUUUGGUCGACCGCAACUUGUACUUAUUCCGCCCGCUUGCCUUAGGACACAUUACCAGCGGGAUGAUCGUUCCAAGGCUGAUCAGACAUACUUGGACUGGCUAGAGGCCCGGAUUGAGAUUUGGGACCAGAGGUAUGACCUGAUUACGCCACCCCCUCCACCUGAGCAUACGGAUGGGGAGCAUGAGUAUAUGGGCUGGUAUCGCAGCGUUACCCGAUUUUCCGUCGGGAAUCCCGUUCAUCGCACUAGUGGUCGGUACAUUCCAUACGCCGGGAGGCAUGGGGCACUGGUAUGUUAUUUAUAUACUUACUUAUAACGUUAAAUUAUCCUUCCUUAAUUAAUAUUUGACAUGUUAUGCAGGCUAUUGGCUUACAUUAGUUCUACCAGUUGGGACUGCAGAUGCAGCAAUAUACAGGCAAGAGAGCGACAACUUUGCAUGAGUAUGGCUGGCAGGUUACAAAUCUGGCUGCACAGACAUUGAGGCGUGCCCGAGAUGAUGAGUGAUUAGGAUACGAAGUUGCUUAUGUGCGCCGCCACAGGAGUACCAUCAUGGGCCACCAGUGAAACUUCAACGUGGUAGACAUGGCAGGCGUGGCCAGAGAGGAAGGAGUGUCCAACGAGGUUGUGGUGGUCGGCUAGGACAGAGUCCCCAUCAAGGGGGCGUUGAGGAAACCGUGGAGGAUAUUAGAGAUGAUCAGCCGAGUGACCACCCUGAGCCACACGAUGCUCCUCAUGAUAUGCCACCAUUCGGCCUUCAACUGUCUUCAGGGACUUUGCAGUUGACCUCGUCAGCUCCAUUAUUGAUCGCGGGAACGUCCAUUCCGCGACAGGAGUGGGAUCAGUAUUUUCCUGAUCCCCCAAAGCCAUCGACAGUUGCUCAGGAUCGUCCGACACGAGACGUGCGUAGUGGGCGACGACUGAGUUAUGGAUCAUCAUCGAGGAAUGCUGAGGAUCUAGCACAUACUUCAUCUAUUCCAGCACACCUCGAUGUUCCGACAGAGCAUUGCGGUGCUACUCAGGCGCAUGUUUGUUUGUAUUACUAUCAUUUCUAUUUGUUUUUAUCUCAUUGAUUAGUCAGUAAUAUCUAAAGCAUUUUAAUUUAUUUUAAAGACUUCGGCAUUGCCCGUCACAGAGGCCGCAUUGUGCGUUACUAAGAUGCCGGAGACAGAUGAUCUAAUUUAGGAGCCCGCUGAGACCAUGGUACGACCAUUAUAAGUUUUUCCCACGGUUCGUUAGUAAUUAUUAUUUCAUAUAGUAAAAUAUCUUAUUAUUCUGUAGGUUACUGCCGGCCCGACGACCACUUCUACUGAGUUUGCUAGCCUUACCGAAGAUCAUGCUGCAGCGCAUCCUCCGAUAAAGAGGAGAUGUAAUGAGGAUGAUCCUGAUAGCGUAGCCAGGUAGGAUGGGAUGUGCCUCAGGCCAGCCAAUGCUUUAAAGCAUAUAGGCUCUGGGACACAUUGACAUUUAUUAUUAUUUGUGUAUAUGACAUUAAAUAUAUAAUAACAACAUUAUUUAUGUUUUACAUAAUUUGCGCAUGUGUUUUUAUUUCUCGAGAUAUUUAGUAGUUUAACAGUACAACACACAAAAAAUGACAGAUUAACAUAAAAUUUAAAUUCGUUACCAAUUCGUUAUCGCCAUCUGCUUGAAUGACAUUUGCACAAUGGAAGUGACUAGCAAUCCACGUGCAAACUUCAAUAACCCAUUGAAAGACUGACACAUUUGUAGUUAGGAUUUCCUAUCUUCUACCACCAUCCGCAUGCAAAGUCCACUUGUCAAGCUCAUGUCACAUCAACCAACGAUAGGCUUCUGGGUCUUCUUGCCUGAUCAAUUCCAUUCGCCUCCUGAAUUUACACUCUUGGUAAUCUGUUGGAGCCAUCCACAUUAAAUCAUGCAAGUCCUUAUUAGCAUAAGCCCUCUAGAAGUUGGCCUUCAAGUGCCUAACACAGUAAUGGUGGUAGGCAUACGGUUCUUGCGAUGAAUGCAAAUUCUCUACAGAACUUAAAAUACCGCCACACCGAUUAGAUAUUAGACAAAUACCUGAACAUUAUGUGACAAUGUGCUCCUUUAAAUGGUUCAAAAACAAUGUCCAUGUCUCUUGGCUUUCAUUGGCACAAAUAGCAAAUGCUAGGGGAAAUAUACUUCCAUUAGCAUCUACUACAACGGCGAUCAACAACUUAAUAUCGUACAUUCCAUAAACAUGAGUACCAUCUAUGGAUAUUACCGAUCGACGAUACACAAAACCACCAAUGGUUGGUUUAAAUGCCCAGAACACAUAUCUGAAUAUGUGUUCCGGUAUUCCCGGACUCCGCUCAAGCUUCCAUUCAACAAUAGUCCUGGGGUAAAGUGUUUCAAUGCGGCCAUAUACCUGGGUAGAUAUGCAAAGUACUUAUCCCAGUUACCAUAAAUAAUUUCAAACGCACGUUUGCACCGGAGAAAUGCCUUUCUUUUGGUAAUGGUACUGUUACGGCCCAAACUGAUGGGUUGUGGCGAGUGCCCGAGUUCUACCUACCGAACACCCCUAAGCAUACGUCUAUGAUAUAAACAUGAAAUAAGUAUAGGUCAUGCAUAAUAUCUGACCCCAAACUGCUGAAUCAUGUGAAUAACAUACAUGAUGAGACAAACCCAAAAAGACAUAUAUAUACAUAUACAUGCGGAAUACAGUAGGGCAAGCCGACAAGGUCACAUACUAUCCAACUAUACAUGACUGUCUACAAACCUCGAAUAGAGUGUAAAUUUGUAUAAAGUACGGGACUAGGCCCCGUCAUACCCUUAUAUGUAUACAAAAGUAUCGUACCAAAAACCCAAAAGCAGCUCCAUAUCAAAUGGAGCACACUAACUCUCGCUAAGCUAGGAUCCUAAGGAGGGGGGCCGUCAACCUGUCUACCUGCACCUGCAGCCAUGAAACGCAGCCCCCCAGGCAAUAGGGGUGUUAAUACGAAUAGUGUACCGACUAUGUAAGGCAUAAAAAUCAAUAUAUAAAAGAAAUGAAAGAAACAUGGAGUAAAGAACUCAACCUGUAAGUCUAAAUAGCUUUGUGAAUCAUGAAAAUAUUUAUAAUGUCAUGCGUAUGCAUAUAAAUGUCAUAUCAUGCAUAUGUAUAUGUGUACAUAACAUCAUCAAGCUUUUUAGGGCAUCCCAUCAUAUCAUCUCAGCCUCUGUGGGAGAAAUAUUAAACGUAUACCAGCUGAUAGGUGGUGGUGCAUAUAAAACGUCAUAACCUUUCCUUAUAUCACAUAUACAUAUAAUAUACGCGUAUAUAACGUCAUCUGGUCAUGGGUCAAUGUACAUGUAUAAAUGAAUGCAAUGCAUAAGGAAUUAAGUCCAUAAGAUCUCUCUAAAUAUCAUAAGACCCAUAAACAGACGAUAUGAUAGCAAGACAUAUAGGGAAUCAAGAACAUAGGCAACCCAAGUACUUUUAGGAAUAGAAUUAUUUGUAAACGUUACGUGCUUUCUCGUUUUAUUGCAUUAUAUAGAUCAUGCCAAAAGGAAAGAAGUGAUAGCCUUAACAUGCCAGUAUGAUCUCUUCCUUAUUACUCAACCAAGCUCAACACAACUUCUUUCAUCUACAACAAGUGAAAUGAUAUUGCCGUUAACAUUUAAUGUCGUACCAUCGUAUUUGGCUAGUCGUAUGGCUUAAGAAAAAUCGGGCAGCAACUCCCCUAUUUUUAAUACAUCCCAAAUACCACUAAGGGUCAUCAACAUCCCAACAACAACAACUAUAACUAACAAUAGCAACAACAACAAUAUAAUCCAAUAUGAGUUUCUCCGAUUAUCUUUACAACCAAAUUGAGCGGCAAACUCAUUUUUACUUAUAACAAGAUAUAAAUUAAAUCCAAAUCUUAAUCCAUAAAUUAGUUUAUAACCUUCAGAACAUCAUACUUGUAUGUACUAUAUUAUUUCUAGUUCAAAAUAUCCACAAAAUGCCUUCCAAAAUAGCCCCAUAAGUCUAACACCUUAAUUUUUAUCGUCAAUCACUUGUUUUUCAUCUUUUCUUCUUCAAUUAACUUUAUUAACACCUAGAAAAGCUUAAAAACAGCAGCCACAAUAUUAUCAAAUUAUUUCUUAUAAUUUUCAGCCACAACAAACCAUCUAUUUAGCCACAAAACAGUCCAACCAAAAAGACAACUACAUCUCAUGUUCUUUCAAGUGCUAUCUUAUGAUUUUUCACUCAACCAACACAACCAACACAAGAUUAACCUUAGGCACAAUCAAGAAGAUAUUAUACAUACCUUGGACAGCAGCUACAACUCGAAACCCUGUCUCAGCUUAGCUCACAAUAGCCCUCAAUCAUACCACAACAAAAAAGCAUUCUCUUGUAGUCUUUAACACCUUUGAUGAUGAUUUGAGUUGAUUUCCCUUGAGUUUGGUUUUUGGGAUCUUGGGAUAUGUUAGGGAGGGUUUUGAAGAGCUGUUAGAAGAAAUUUGGGUGAGAAAUAACCCGAAAUGAGGCUGAAACACCUUUAAAAAAACGUAAGGUCAGAGGUCAUCUCAAGUGGGUCCCAACCGAGCUGCUUGCGCAGUCUUGCAAAAAUGCAGAUAUCUCUCUUCCCCGAUGUCGUAUCAAUGAAUAGUUUAAUGUAUUGAAAACUAGACUGUAGACCUUCAAUUUGGUAUAUAAUGUGUCCCAAAAGACCCCAUAUAGCAGGCGAAAUUCAUUGUUCAAAAGGUUCUAUUACAAGGCAAAUCCUUAGUCGGUUUUUCCGCAACUUUAAUCCGAUUUUUCCCAAACUUGAUAUUUUCUAUCCAAACAUCAUAUAUAGCCAUAUUAUGACUUUAAACUCAUUUAAAUAAUGAUUAGCAAGUCUCAUAUUCAUUACGUCACCUUGGGACGCACAGGGUGUAACAAUCUCCCCCCUUAGAAACAUCCGUCCCCGAAUGUUAAACUCCCAGAAACCUAUAGAAAUUUUAGUAGAGUCUCCUCUAUAAUGGUACUACUACCAACCUGUCACAUAGAAAACCCAACAAUACAAAGCCACACAGGGCCACAAUCAACAAUAACACCAAUGGCCUCAAGUAUCAUAUACGUACCUAAAGGUUGUGAUGUCUCAGUCUGAACCUCCUCCGGAAGCGGAAACAAGUGAGGAUACCUAGUCUUCAUUUCUUCUUCAGCUUCCCAAGUCAUAUCUUCCACAUUAUUGUUUCUCCAAAGUACUUUAACUGAAGCUAUAUCCUUAGUUCUCAAUCUCCGAAUUUGUCUAUCUAGUAUAACAAUGGGAGCUUCCUUAUAUGACAACUGUUCUGUAACCCGAACAUCGUCAACUGGAAUGAAUUUAGAGGGAUCUCCAAUACACUUACGGAGCAUAGACACAUGAAAGAUUUAAUGUAUAGACUCCAAGUUGGAAGGCAAGUCUAACUCAUAUGCUAUUUGGCCUACUCUACGUAUAAUCUUAUAAGGUCCAAUAUACCGAGGGCUAAGCUUUCCUUUCUUACCGAAUAUUAUAACGACUUUCAUCGGUGAUACCUUUAGGAAUACCAGUCGUCUACUUGAAACUCCAAGUCUCGUCGUCGAUUAUCUGCAUAAGACUUCAGACGACUAUGAGAUGCUAAUAGCCUUUCCCUUAUAAGCUUAAUCUUCUCAACUUCCUGUUGUACCAACUCUGGUCCUACUAACUUAGUUUCCCCUAUCUCGAACCAUCCUCUAGGAGACCUACAAUUCCAUCUGUAAAGAGCUUUAUAUGGAGCCAUCUGAAUACUGGAAUGAUAACUAUUAUUAUAUGCGAGCUCAAUAAGUGGAAGAUGAUCAUCCCAGCUAUCCCUGAAGUCCAUCACACAAGCCCAUAUCAUAUCCUCCACUGUCUGAAUAGUACGUUCAGCCUAACCGUCUGUCUGGAUGAAAUGCUUUACUAAGACUUACCUGAGUCCCCAAUCCUUUUUGGAAGGACCUCCAGAAAUUAGCUGUAAAUUGAGCACCUCUAUCUGAGAUAAUAGAUAUAGGGACACAAUGAAGUUGUACUAUCUCCUUAAUGUAAAGCCUUGCAUAAUCCUCUGCUGAACACGUAGUCCUGACAGGUAGAAAUUGGGUUGAUUUUGUAAGUCUAUCAACAAUAACUCAUGUAGAAUCGAACUUACGCUGGGUACGAGGUAAUCCUAUGCUGAAAUCCAUGUUAAUCACUUCCCAUUUCCAAGUCGGAAUCUCUAUAGCCUGCAAUAAUCCACCGAGUUUCUGAUGCUCAAUCUUAACCUGUUGACAAUUAGGUCACUAAGAAACAAACUUUGCUAUAUCCUUCUUCAUUCCGUCCCACCAAUAUAUUCCCCUGAUAUCAUGAUACAUCUUCGUCGCUCCUGGAUGAAUAGAAUAACGAGAAUAGUGAGCUUCUCCCAUAACCUGCUGGCGUAACCCUGCCACUUUAGGAAAACAUAAUCGACCUCGAUAUAUGAGGACUACAUCUCCUGUAAUCUCAAAUGGUGUCUUCUCCUUUUGAGGGGUUGCAUAUCUGUAGUGAGCUACCACAGGAUCUUCAUAUUGACGUUCCUUCACUUCAGUUACUAGAGAGGAUGUUGUCGUGUCCUGAAUAGUAACUCUGGUACCACCUGAAUCUAGUAAUCGAACUCCAAGAUUAGCUAAAUGAUGAAUCUUAUGAGCUAUAUCAUUCUUCUCUGGCUGUAAAUAUGACAGACUACCCAUAAAUCUACGGCUGAGGGUGUCGGCUACUACAUUCGCCUUCCCUGGAUGGUAUAAAUAUCAACAUCAUAGUCUUUCAGUAUCUCCAACCAUCGCCUCUAACGUAUAUUCAAUUCCUUUUACUUGAAUAUAUAUUGAAAGCUCUUAUGGUCCGUAUAGAUAUCAACAUGAAUGCCAUACAAAUAGUGCCUCCACCUCUUUAGUGCAUGAAUCACCGUGGCUAACUCUAAAUCAUGGGUCGGGUAAUUCUUCUCGUGGUUUCUUAGUUGUCUAAAAGAGUAAGCGACAACCUUACCAUGCUGCGUCAAUACACAACCCAAUCUAACGCCCGAAGCAUCACAAUAGAUAACAUAACCAUCGGUCCCUUCUGAAAAUGUCAAAACCGGUGCUGAAGUCAAUCUAUACUUCAGUGCCUGGAAACUCUCUACAAUUCUCCUGUAAUAUCCUGCCAAACCCACCUCCUGUAUAUAGUAGGGAAAGCUGACAAUGCCAUAUACAUGAUGGGGUUGGAGCCACACUUUCAAGCAAAUCCCUCAGUUGUUCUUUCAACUCACUCAGCUCUGCAGGUACCAUUAUAUAUAGAGGAAUAGAUAUUAUAUGGGUAUCUGGUAAUAUGUCAAUAGCAAACUCAAUCUCCUACUAUGGCGGAAGGACUGGAAGCGUAUCGGCAAAAACAUCUAGAAACUCAUUAACCACCGGGAUAGACUGAAGGGUCGGUGACUCUACUUUCACAUCCUGUACCCGAACUAAGUGAUAAAUAUAGCUCUUUUUAUCAUCUUCCUUGCCUUGAGAUCGAAAAUAAACCUACCUCUUGGCGAUGCGGUAUUACUUUCCAUUCCAGAAUUGGUUCCCCUGGAAACUAGAACCGAAUCAUCUUUGAUCUACAAUCAACGUUAGCAUAACAAGAAGCCAACAAUCCAUACCCAUUAUAACAUCAAAUUCCACCAUAUCUAACUUCAUUAGGUCUGCUCUUCUAGAAUGACUAUGAACUACUACUAUACAGUCUUUAUAUACCCGUCUAGCUAUCACUGGAUCCCCAAUAGGUGUAGAUACCUCAAAAGGUUCAAUCAACUCAGGUUCUAUCCCAAACUUACUAGCAACCAACGGAUUGACGUACGAUAAGGUGGAACCUGGAUCAAUCAAUGCAUAUACAUCAUAUGAGGAGACUAAUAAUAUACCUGCAACAACAUCGGGUGAUGACUCCUAAUCAUGUCGACCCGCUAAUGCAUAAAUACGAUUCUGAGGAUCGCUCAAGCUAGAUGCUCCACUUCUACCUCUACCACGACCAGCUGGUGCCUGUGAACCUUGCCCGGGGGGCGUACUGAUGAUGACGAACUGGCUGCAGAUCUCGCUGACUGAACUAUACCUGCACCAUCUCUCAUCGGACAAUCUCUCAUAACGUGGCCUGGAUAACCACAAGUAUAACAAAUACCCAACCCUACAAGGCACUGCCCAGCAUGCUUCUUACCUCACUCAGCACUUCGUGGCAAGGGCGGCCUCAUCUGGCUUGACUCACACCUAUACUGAGAACUAGAGGCCCUAGAACUCUGGUUGGGCUCUAAAUAUAUAGAACGAUCAAAUCUACUACCGGCAAACUGAGGUGGUGCACUAGCCGAUGGCUGGGCUGGAUACCUCGGGUACUGUUAUCGCUGACCACCUCGAAACUCACUAGAAGUACCUUAAGAUCUCGCUCUCUUACUCUGGCCCCUAUCAUGCUCACGACCGGCCCUCUGCUUCUGCUUACGCUCCUCUACGCCCAGAGCGUAUGCCUGAAUACGAGAAAUGUCUAUGCUUGGCUGAAGUGAGACCGACAUACAGUCAUUAAGAAUGUGUGGCUCCAACCCUAUCACGAACCGGUGAACCCGAUCCUCCAUUUUAGCUACAAUAGUGGGAUCAUACCUAGCCAAAGAAUCAAACUGAAGGUUGUACUCCCAAACACUCAUAUUACCCUGCCGAAGGGUCAAGAACCUAUCAACUCUGGCCCGUCUAAGCUCUGGUGGCAAAUAAUGAUGAAGAAAAGCCUCUGUAAAAUCUUUCCAUACUGCUGGAGGGCCAUCCUCACCUCUGGACAACUCCCAAGAUUCGUACCAAUUAAUUGCAACAUCCCGAAGUCUAUAGGAAGCCAACUCAACUGACUUAGUUGCAGUGGCCUUCAUUACCCUCAAAGUUAUCUGCAUCCUAUUAAUAAAUACUUGAGGGUCCUCGUUUGGAUAUACUCCAAUGAAUAUGGGAGGGUCCAAAUUAAUGAAAUCGUGAACCCUUGCAUUGAUGGCCCUAUCUGCAUGACCGAUACCUACCUCCUGGCUUCGAGCCUGUGCGGUCACUAAUCGAGUCAAUAGCUGAAUAACAUCUCUCAUCUCCUGACCCGGUACAUCCGGCUGAGGAACUAGGGGUACUGGGGCUGGCGCUUGAGCUCGUGCCACUCAGAUCUCCUCCGGAGAGGGUAUGGUAUGUGAAGUCUGAGAUGGAGUCUCACUAUAUGACUCUCCCCGAGCCCUGGAAACUCGUGGCGCUCGGCUUGUGGUCUCAUCAUCCACAGGCUUGCCCUUUUGGGCGGCAGUAGCCUUCUUGGGCAUCGCUGAAAACAUAAUGUAUCAUUAGGAAAAUGAAUUCUUACAUCGCACGAUCUAAGAUAAGAAGGGAAGGUAACAUCCUAUAUGUCCUACCGCCUCCUGUUUAUAAGUGUGGUGCACAACACACUCAUAAACAAGACUCUACUAGACACGGUCUGUAGACACCCCCAGGAUGGAACUGCUCUGAUACCACUUUUGUCACGACCCAAACCGAUGGGCUGUGACGAGUGCCCGAGUUCUACCUACCGAACACCCCUAAGCAUACGUCUAAGAUAUAAACAUGAAAUAAGUAUAGGUUAUGCAUAACAUCUGCCCAAAAUUGCUGAAUCAUGUGAAUAACAUACGUGACGAGACAUACUCAAAAGACAUAUAUAUAUACACACACACACACACACACACAUGCGGAAUACAGUAGGGAAAGCUGACAAGGCCACAUACUAUCCAACUAUACAUGACUGUCUAUAGACCUCUAAUAAAGUGUAAAACUGUAUAAAGGAUGGGACUGAGCCCCGUCAUACCCUUAUAUGUAUACAAAACUAUCGUACCAAAACCCAAUAGCAGCUCCGGAUCAAAUGGAGCACCCAACUCUCGCUAAGCUAGGAUCCUAAGGAGGGAGCCGUCAGCCUGUCUACCUGCACCCGCGGGCUUGAAUAGCUGGCCCCCAGGCAAUAGGGGCGUCAGUACGACAAAUGUAUCGAGUAUGUAAGGCAUAAAAAUCAAUAUAUAAAUGACAUGGAAGAAACAUGGAGUAAAGAACUCAACCUGUAAGUCUGAAUAGCUCUGUGAAUCAUGAAAAUAUUUAUAAUGUCAUACGUAUGCGUAUAAAUGUCAUAUAAUGCAUAGGUAUAUGUAUACAUAACAUCAUCAAGCUUCUGAAGGCAUCCCAUCAUAUCAUCUCUGCCUCUGUGGGCGAAAUCAUAAACGUAUAUCAGCUGAUCAGGUGGUGGUACGUAUAUAACACCAUAACCUUUCCACAUAUCUCAUAUACAUAUAAUAUACGCGUAUAUAACGCCAUCUGGUCAUAGGUCAAUGCAUAUGUAUAAAUGAAUACAAUGCAUAAGAAAGUAAUUUUAUAAGAUCUCUCAGAAUAUCAUAAUACCCAUGAACAAACGAUAUGAUAGUAGGACAUAUGGAGAAUCAAGAACAUAGGAAACCCUAGUACUUCUAGGAAUAGAAUUAUUUGUGAAAGUUGCGUGCUUGCUCGUUUCAUUGCAUCAUAUGGAUCGUGCCAAAAGGAAAGAAGGGAUAGCCUUAACAUACUAGUAUGAUCUCUUCCUUAUUACUCAACCAAGCUCAAUAGAAUUUGUUUCAUCUACAACAAGUGAAAUGAUAUUGCCGUUAACAUAUAAUGUCUUACCAUCGUAUUUUGUUAGUCGUAUGGCUUAAGAAAAAUCGGGCAGAAACUCCCCUAUUUUUAAUAUAUCCCAAAGACCACUAAGGGUCAUCAACAACCCAACAACAACAACUAUAACCAAAAAUAGCAAUAAUAACAAUAUAAUUCGAUAUGAGUUUCUCUGAUUAUCUUAACAACCAAAUUGAGCGGCAAGCUUGUUUUUACUCAUAACAAGAUAUAAAUUGAAUCCAAAUCUUAUUCCAUAAAUUAGUUUAUAACCUUCAUAACAUCAUACUUAUAUGUGCUAUAUUAUUUCUAGUUCAAGACAUCCACAAAAUGCCUUCCAAAACAGCCCCAUACGUCUAGCACCUUAAUAUUUAUCGUCAAUCACUUGUUUUUCAUCUUUUCUUCUUCAAUCAACUUAAUUAACACCUAGAAAAGCUUAACAACAGCAGCAACAACAUUAUCAAAUUAUUUCUUACAAUUUCUAGCUACCACAAACCAUCUAUUUAGCCACAAAACAGUCCAACCAAAAAGAUAACUACAUCCCAUGUUCUUUUAAGUGCUAUCUUAUGGUUUCUCACUCAAACAACACAACCAACACAAGAUUAACCUUAGGCACAAUCAAUAAGAUGUAAUACAUACCUUGGACAGUAGCUACCACUCGAAACCCUAUCUCAACUUAGCUCACAAUAGCCCUCAAUCACACCACAACAUCAUAGAAGCAUUCUCUUGUAGUCUUUAAUACCUUUGAUGCUGAUUUGAGUUGAUUUCCCUUGAGUUUGGUUCUUGGGAUAUGUCAGGGAGGGUUUUGGAGAGCUGUUAGAUGAAAUUUGGGUGAUAAAUGACCCGAAAUGAGACUGAAACACCUUUAAAAAAAGUAAGGUCGGAGGUCGUCUCAAGUGGGUCCCAACCGAGCUGCUUGCGCAGUCUUGCAAAAAUGCAGAUAUCUCUCUUCCCCGACGUCGUAUCAAUGAACAGUUUAAUGUAUUGGAAACUAGACUAUAGACCUUCAAUUUGGUAUAUAAUAUGUCCCAAAAAGACCCCAUAUAGCAGGCGAAAUUCAUUGUUCAAAAGGUUCUAUUACAAGGAAAAUCCUUAGUCGGUUUUUCCGCAACUUUAAUCCGAUAUUUCCCAAACUUUAUAUUUUCUAUCCAAACAUCAUAUAUAGCCAUAUUAUGGCUUUAAACUCAUUUAAAUAAUGAUUAACAAGUUUCAUAUUCAUUACGUCACCUUGGGAUGCAUAGGGUGUAACAGGUACACCCAUAUACCUGGUGGACAGAUGUUAUACACUCUUUGAUCUUGUACCUUAUGGACGCUUCAAUGUGUGGAAUCAACACAAGAGAAAUUAAGUCAACAUUCAAGUUAAAAUGAUUCCUAGUGAACGUGUCCAUUUCACAAUUGUGGGUGCCAAUGAAUUUACCCAUAAUCCACAUAUUUGUUUUCAACUUUCACGAACGCAACAUUCAAUUACAACCUUGAAACCAUCAACAACAAAUAACCUUGUAUACAUAUGGAUAUGACUCAUGAACCACAAUAUCACGACACUCGUUUUUGCUGUACAUUCGGGCCGCCCUGCUUAGAUGCACUUUUUCAGCAAAAAGCAUGCCUUUUGAUAGCACCGUUGCUCUAGACUCAUCCCACAUUGCUAUCCGAAUUUCAUCAAGAUCCCUUGUGAGGGUAUCCACAUCCGGCAUACUUGGCAACUGAUCAAGGUUGGGAAUCUCCCUUGAAUGAAACGGCACAUGAGACUAGUACACUCUUGGUCUAACGGAGGGUGGAGCAUGCUCCCUCAUCAAAUCAGGUUCAUCAUUCUCAGCCUCAUAAUCAUCACCCUCAUCAGAGAAGGGUGUGUCAUCUCCAGACUCAUCAACAUUAUUGUCAUAAUAACUAUUAUCUUCCUAACUCUACUCAUCUACCAGAUCCUGAUUAAAUAUGUCGUCUUCGGGCAAUUGAGUAAGGACAGGUCCUUCAAGUUGCUCGUUUUCACUGCACAACCAAUAAUAUAAAAUGAGUUUCUCAAAUUCAUCCAAACUUUACAUAUAAACUUUAUCACUUCACUUACAAAUCAUAAUGUGUUUAUAUCCCAUGAUGCAUCCUAUCUUGUUGGUUGUGACUCCCUGAUGGACCACCAUCAUCCAACACACCAAAACUAGCCAUAUUCUAACUGUCCGUUGGUAUAUAACUUGUAAAAUUCAUAUUUGGCUCGUAUAUGAGUAUUAAUACAAAUACAAUACAUAAAAAUAAAUAUCGUACCACAAAGGAAAAUUGAAGCUUACCACUCGGCUUGUGGAUUAUGUAAACUUGGGGAGAAAUUAUGUCCUCGGUUGUCAUGACCCAAAUCUCCCUCCGUAAGAUGUCGUGAUGGCACCUAGUCUUAGGGACUAGGUAAGCUUAACAAUUACCGAAAUAAUAACAAUAUUAAAUAACGACUGACAAAUGUGAAGUAGAAUUUUUAUACAAUACUUGAAAUCCCAAAACCGGUAGUAUAAGUAAUAAGCUCAAAUGAGUUACUAGAAAGCCUACAAAUACAACUGUUUGAAGUAUAGAUAAAAUAGUGCGAGUACAAUAUUAGAAGGUGACUCUGAAGUCUGCGAACGCAACAACAGGUUUACCUUGAGUCUCCACAGCAAGUUUCGUACUGCUAGCGAGCGGUGAACUAACUCCACCAUACCUAGCUUUGCACAAAAAUGUGCAGAAGUACAGUAUAAGUACACCACAGUCAGUACCCAGUAAGUAUCAAGACUAACCUUCGUGGAGUAGUGAAGAGGUGUGGUCAAGACACUCACUAGUCAAAUAACCUGUGCAAUAUAGCAUACAAAAAUAAUAUAAAACAAAUAGCAGUGGUAGCAACAAUAAUCAACUAGUGAUGUAAACAUCAAGGCAACAAGAACAAUAUAAUUAUUACUCAGACGAAUAAGAAACACAAGUACAACCAAUUAAAUAAGUCCUUCAAAUAUAAAUCUUCAAAUAAGUAUCCUUCGAAUAUAAAACUCUUUCAAAUAAAUAUCUUAUAUCAUAAUCAUAGAAUAUGGUUACAAUUUUAAACCAAGUAAGAAUUCAACAAAGAAAUGAGUUUAUUUUAGAAAUAGUUUGAUGAAUAAAAUGACAUUUCAAUAUAAAUAAACAUCAGAUAAGCUGCUGAUUUGGAUGUAAAACUUAUUAAAUUAAAACAUAAUAGCAAUUUCAUUUAUUUAAAACAACUCAAUCAUCAAGAACAAGUACAAACCAGAAAUACAAAUCCUCAGAGUCUAGUACGAAAAAGCCAAAUCCAACAUAAUACUACAAGAAAUAAAAACACUUAAUAUUGAGUCAAAUAAUACAUCAUGGAGAACACAUGAAUUUACAUAUUAUGAAAAAAUAAAAUAAUCAAAGGCAAGUGCAACCACAGAGAAAUAUCAACAAAAGGACAUUCCCGAGGUACCGCCUCGUAGUCCCAACACAAAUAUCAACAACAACAACAACAACAACAAUGCCCCUAUGCCGUCACAAGUCAUCACAAAUCAAUCCCCUACAUAGCCCACCUUGUCUCACCACCUGCGCAAUAAUAAAGUGAAUGUCCGCCUUGUCUCGCCGCACACGCAUAAUAAUAUUCUCACCUUGUCUUGCCACAUGCGCAAACCCACAUAUAUAGCACGUCUUGUCACGCCGCAUGUGCAUAUAUCAAUAGUAAUAACAGCAUGGAAUAAACCCCGUGCAAAUACCCGAAAUAACCUCUCAACAAUAUCACGUGCCAAUAUCACAACAUAUUAUAAAUUGCACCUCAAGUGCUCAAAUAUUACAACAUAUCACAAAUUACACAUCAAAUACUCAAAUAUUACAACUUGCCAUGAAAAUCAAUAAUACAUUAAUUUCCAAAAUAUGGAGCUCAUGGCUCGACCAUAAUGUGCAUAAAAUCAUAACAAAAAUAUCCGGGAGUGAACAACUCAACAGAAAAAUAUUUCAUAAUUUAACACUGAAUAUGAUCACGACAACACAAUACAAUAAUUCAUAUCACAAUUUGCCCAUAGGCCACAACAAAUCCCAAAGAUAUAAUAAAAUCAAUAAAUUUCUCAUCAAAUAGCCCAAGGCUCCAAACAACGUAUAUAAAACCUCAAAACAACAACAGAGAUGGAAAAGUAACCUAGCAUAGGACAACGCCUUCUUUAAUCCAAAAUAUUAAUAAAUAUAUAUAUAUCAAUGCCUCAUUUUAAACUUAUUAAAUAAUUAUUUGCAGAUAAGCAAUGAGGCAUAACAAUUCAAGGAUUUACUAUGUUCCAACAAUUUUCCAAUUACAUAAUGACGUCUACGAAUUUCAACCGAUAUAAUUUGCACAUAUAAAUCAAGUAUGUACUCGUUACCUCACGUACAUGAUUUUCAAUUACACAAUUUCCACAUAAGACUCAAUGCAUAAGGGGUAUUUCCCUCACUCAAGGUUAGACAAGAUACUUACCUCAAACCGUGAAAUUCUUUACUCCGCUGUGUCUUUCCCUGGCGAAUGGGCCUCCGAAAGCCUUGUAUCUAGACACAAUUAAUUUGAUUCAGUUAAUAUAAAUUAUUGGAAUUAAUUCCAAAUAAAAAUACAAAUUUUCCAAAAAAUUCCGAAAUUUAACUCAAAAAUCUCCCGUGGGACACACGUCUCGGAACCCGACAAAAGUUACAAAUAUGAACGCCCGUUCAACCACGAGUCCAACCAUACAAAAUUACUAAAUUUAGCCAUCAACUCGACCUCCAAAUCUCAAAUUCGUAUUUUGAAAUCCCUAGGCCCAAAUCCUUUAAUUUCACCUCAGAAAAAUGUAAUCUAGUCUAAAUACUCAAUGAUAAUCCAAUAUUAUUAACUAACAAUGAUCACACGUGACUUACCUCAAGUUUCCCCGUGAAGUAUCUCUCACAAAUCUCCCAAAACUGUGUGUUUAAACUCCAAAAUGGCAAAAUUGUCGGUCCCUUCUGUUUUUGUAGCUUGUCUGGUGUUUUCACUUCUACGGAAUAUUUAACCGCAUCUAUGCUUCCUCUUUUGCGGAUUAUCUAUCGAUUCUGCGGUUUUCCAAGGUCCCUCUACCUCCCGCUCUGUGAUUAAACGACCGCUUCUGCAGGCUUUCUUCUGCGAGAAGUAGUCCGCUUCUGCGGUCACGUAGAUAAGGAACUUUCCUCCGCACCUGCGGCCACUGCUCCAGUCUCCCUUUUCCGCUUCUGCGCUCCCAUUCUCGCUUAUGCGAGCCACUUCCGCAGGUACAGUUGCAUCAGAUGACAGAAGGUUUCCAGCUUUGUUAUAAGUCCAAAUUUUGAUCCGUUAACCAUCUGAAACUCACCUAAGGCCCCCGGGACUUCAACCAACUACACCAACAAGUCCUAAAACAUCCUACGAACUUAGUGGAAAUGCCAAACAUUUUCAAAAGGCCUCAUUUUCACAUCAACACAGGGUAUUAGUUUCAACCAGCUAUAGCAACUCGUGCCUACGCACAUGUCAUAUGUAAACCACACCUCUGGUCAUAGUAGUUGUUCAUAAUUAAUUCCAUCAUCCUCAAUUAACCUCAUAUUAAUCAAACCCUCGUUUCAAAAUUUCAUAAUACCGACAGCAAUUUAUCCGAAUUUACGAGUCACAUUUAACGCUACCUGGGUACUCACAUCGUGGGGGCUAAAACUCAAUAAUUACAGCAUAAUUAUGGCUAAAUAUGCACAAAAUAACAUNNNNNNNNNNNNNNNNNNNNNNNNNAUGUUAUUUUGUGCAUAUUAGUCUGAGUCCCUCCCCCGAUCUAUGAAGUAGCUGGUGCAAUCGAAAUCAACCCCGCCUGAGCCAAUGUACCAAACAUGCUCAGGAAUUAUGCUAAGGUCUCAUGAAGUCCAGGGGUAACAGUAUGUGCCUCUGGUACCUGUCCCUCAAUCAGAGCUACUAGUAGCUCCUCAACUACUGCUCUAGUAGGUGCCCUAGCUGCGGCACGUGCUCCCUUUCGGCCUCUGCCUCUGCGUUACCUGCCCCGGGGCGUUACCUGCCCCGGGAACAGCGUCAUCGAUAACUGAAGCUCGUGUCCUCACCAUCUGUGAGAGAAUAGAAUGGUAAAACUCAAACUCCGAGAUCAAUAAACUCACACGAUAGGAAUGAAGAAAGUGAAACUGUCCUAAUAGUUCCGUAGCCUCUCGAAGAUAAGUACAAACGUCUCUGUACCGAUCCCUAAGACUACUAAACUCGCUUAUGACUCGUAGCACCUAUGAACCUAGAGCUCUGAUACCAACUUGUCACGACCCAAAUCUCCCUCUGUAGGAUGUCGUGAUAGCACCUAGUCUUAGAGACUAGGUAAGCCUAAAGAUUACCGAAAUAAUAUGCAGAAGUAUAGUAUGAGUACAUCACAGUCGGUACCCAAUAAGUAUUAAGACUAACCUCCGUGGAGUAGUGACGAGGUACAAUCAAGAUACUCACUAGUCAAAUAACCUGUGCAAUAUAACAUACAAAAAUAAUAUGAAACAAAUAGCAGUGGUAGCAAUAAUAAUCAACUAGUGAUGUAAACAGCAAGGCAACAAGAACAACAUAAUUAUUACUCAGACGAAUAAGAAACACAAGUACAACCAAUUAAACAAGUCCUUCAAAUAUAAAUCUUCAAAUAAGUAUCCUUCGAAUAUAAAAAUCUUUCAAAUAAAUAUCUUAUAUCAUAAUCAUAGAAUAUGGUUCUCAGCCCCCUUUGAUAUUCUCACGGCACCUCGUACCCAUAUCUAUAUCAUAACCGCACGGACAACUCUCGUGCUAAAUAUGUCAAAACAUAAAAUUUGCACGAUUAAUUUAUUUCCAAUAAAGUAAGGUUACAAUUUUAAACCAAGUAAGAAUUCAACAAAGAAAUGAGUUUAUUUUAGAAAUAGUUUGAGUGAAUAAAAUGACAUUUCAAUUUAAAUAAAUAUCAGAUAAGCUGCUGAUUUGGAUGUAAAACUUAUUAUAUUAAGACAUAAUGGCAAUUUCUUUUAUUUAAAACAACUCAAUUAUCGAGAACAAGUACAUACCAGAAAUACAAAUACUCAGAGUCUCAUACGAAAAAGUCAAAGCCAAUACAAUACUACAAGAAAUACAAAAACACUUAAUAUUGAGUCAAAUAAUACAUCACAGAGAACAUAGAAAUUUAUAUAUUAUGGAAAAAUAAAAUAACCAAAGGCAAGUGCAGCCAUAGAGAAAUAUCAAUAAAAGGGCACACACGAGGUACCUCCUCGCAGUCCCAACACAAAUAUAAACAACAACAAUGUCCCCAAGCCGUUACAAGACAUCACAAAUCAAUCCCCGACAUAGUUCACCUUGUCUAGCCAUGUGCGCAAUAAUAAAGUAAAUGCCUGUCUUGUCUCGCCGCACGUGCAUAAAAAUAUUCCCACCUUGUCUCGCCACAUGCGCAAACCCACAUAUAUAGCCCGUCUUGUCACGCCACAUGUGCAUAUAUCAAUAGUAACAAAAGCAGGGCAGAAACCUCGCGCAACCACCCGAACUAACCUCUCAACAAUAUCACGUGCCAAUAUCACAACAUCUCAUAAAUUGCACCUCAAGUGCUCAAAUAUUACAACAUAUCACAAAUUGCACAUCAAGUGCUCAAAUGUUACAACUUGCCACGAAAAUCAACAUUACAUUAUUUUUCAUAAUAAGGAGCCAAUGGCUCGACCAUAAUGGGCACAAAAACCUAACAAAAUAUCCGGGAGUGAACAACUCCACAGAAUAAUAUUUCACAUUUUAACACUGAAUAUGAUCACGACAACACAAUACAAUAAUUCAUAUCACAAUUUUCUCAUUGGCCACAACCAAUCCCAAAGAUAUAACAAAAUCAAUAAAUUUCUCAACAAAUAGCCCAAGACUCCACACAACAUAUUUAAAACCUUAAAACAACAACAGAGAUGGAAAAGUAACCCAGCAUAGGACAAGGCCUUCUUUAUUCCAAAUACUCAAUGAUAAUCUAGUAUUAUUGACUAACAAUGAUCACAAGUGACUUACCUCAAGUUUUUCCGUGAAUUCUCUUUGAAACAUUGCCCAAAAUCAUGUGUUUAAAUACCAAAAUGGCAAAAAUAUCGGACCCUUCUGUUUUUGUAGCAUGUCCAGUGUUUUCGCUUCUGCGGAACAUUUAAUCGCAUCUGCAGUUCCACUUUUGCGGAAUACCUACCGCUCCUGCGGUUUGCCAAGGUCCCUCUACCUCCCACUUCUGCGAUUAAACGACUGCUUCUGCGGACUCGUUUCUGCGAGAAGCAGUUCGCUUCUGCGAUCCCUCGUGAGCAUUUGCGGUCACGCAGAUGCGGAAUUUUCCUCCGUACCCGCGGCUACUGUUCCACUCUCCCUUUUUCGCUUCUGCGCUCCUAUUCUCGCUUUUGCGAGAUCGCACCUACGAGCCAUUUCCGCUGGUGCGGUUGCAUCGGAUGACAGAAGGUUUCCACCUUUGUUCUAAGUCUAAAUUUCUAUCCGUUAACCAUUCGAAACUCAUCCGAGGCCCCCGGGACCUCAACCAACUACACCAACAAGUCCUAAAACAUCAUACGAACUUAGUCGAAACUUCAAAUCAUAUCAAAUAAUGCUAAAACCACGAAUCAUACCCCGAUCCAAGUUUAAUGAAACUAAGAAAUUUCAACUUCUAUAUUCGAUGCCGAAACCUAUUAAAUCAAGUCCGAUUGACCUCAAAUUUUGCACACAAGUCAUAAAUGACAUAACAGACUCCCCGGUAUCAAAAAGUCAACUCCUCGGUCAAACCUUAAGUUUUUAUUUUAGUCAUUUCAAGCCUAAUUGAACUAUGUAGUUUCAAAUAAUUUUUCGGACAUGCUCCUAAGUCCAAAAUCACCAUACGGAGUUAUUGGAAUCAUCGAAACUCUAUUCUGGGGACAUUUACAAAUAAGUCAACUCCGGUUAACUCUUUUUGUUUAACCUUCAAAAAUAAGAAUUGUUCUUUCAAUUAAAUUCUGAAUCUUCCGAAAACCAAACUCGACCAUACCCGCAAGUCAUAAUACACAUCACAAAGCUGCUUGUGACUUUAAGUCGUUAAACGAGACGUUAAUUCUUAAAAUGACAAGUCGGGUUAUUACAUCGGUCCUUAUUCACCCGUGGAGAUAAGUUUAGAUCAGGCCAAACUCUUUCACCAGAAACCUGUUCAGCUAAAACUACUCCAAAAUAACCACCCGAUGAUUGAGGGAUAUUUCUACUUUGCAAAACCUCAUUAUUGUGAACGUCUUCCGCCUUGACAUACAUUUCCAAGUCGCACCCUCCUUAAAAGGAGGAAAAAGACGAGAAAAUUUAGGGUGGUUUUUGAAAAGCUAAUUAUUAAAGAAGUCGUCGGAAAAAAAAUUGAGAAAAGUUGUAUGUGUGGAUUAAUUCAGAUUUUUUGUUUCAAAAGCACUGCUUGUUUUUGGAUAGAGAUAUAAUUUCGGGAAAUCAAAAUUUGCUUUUUCCAACUAAACAAAAUUGAUUUUUAGUUUCAAAAAUAUGUUUUUGAAUCUUUUUCCUAAAAUAAAUAGUUAAUUCGUGUAACUCACAAAUUGAGAAAUACAAAUCUACCAUGCUCCUAGUUAACGGAUGUAAAAUAUCUUUAAAAAAUUAACUUCCUAUAAAAAAAUUAUAUUUAGCCUUUGAUUAACACUGGAAUUUUAUUAAAACAUCAAAUUGCUGAAACGGAAGAUCUAAUAUAAACAAAGUAAUUAAAUUUGGAUGUCAUUUAAUCUUUUGUCUAAAUUAAGCAUAAUUAAUUAGUCACGGCGUUUAGUGUUUGUUGAUCAUGAAAUUCUUGCCAAAUAUUUAUUUAUUUUUUACUGAUAAAAUCAGAAAUUAAUUUUUUAAAUUAUUUAAUUUUGACUCAUAAAACUAAUUUGAGCUACAUACAACAAUAACAACAACGUACUCAGUCUAGAGAUGAUAGUAUAUUCACCGUCUUUAUACCUACUUUGUGAAAGUAAGAAAUGUUUCCAGAUUUGAGCUUACAACUUACAUAGUGUAUUGAUAUUUGCUGUAACUCUAUCUGAUAUUCAAUAAAAGGAAACAAAAAUGUUUGGCUUCGUCAUUUUAAGCCUGAUCCAGGCCCACAUAUUUCUCCUAGAAUGGGGGUGAUAGAAGAAAAUUUUAUGUAAAAAUAUACGUCAUAUUGGUUAAGGAGACAAAAUGAAGGUGGAACAAGAAAUUUAUAUUGCAAUAUGAAAAAGAUGGACAAUAAGAAAGGGAUGGGGAAACUUAUAUUGUAAUUGUUACGAUAACUUCUAUUAUGUUGGAUAUGAUUUAUGUCUUCAAUUUUUUCGACUUCAGAAAACUAUUGUAGUUCUUAAUUACUCUGUCUAAACAUGCAGGCCAAUCGUGUAUGACAGUGUCAUGAGCUGUAAGCCAGAGCAGCAUAAUUAUACUGCAUAUGUAAGUUAAAAUGAUAAGUUAUUUACGGGGUAAAGUUCUGCCUAUUUUAUUUAUCAAAAUUAAAUAAAGACUACCAUGUGUGGUUUAUUUAAUUCUUUUUCAUUCUAAAGAAUUUUCUAAUAAAAUAAAUCUUAAAACUUAAAUUUUGUGUAGAAAAAAACAACUAACCUUAAAAGCAAUAUUUUAAUUAAAUGUUAUUUCUUAAAUAAAUUUUAUAAUUUAAAAAUCAAGCCCUACAAAAAUUUAUUCAACAAAAGCGCUCUACAAACUACAAACUUUCUCGACUCUCUCAUACUUUUGGUUUUAUGUUUACUUUUAUCAGUAAAUUUUCUAACAUUGUCUUUUUGUUAUUUUAAUUUUAAUUUAUAAAAUUAUAGUUCUAUUAAAAGUUUUUUUUAUGGUUUAGCUAAAUAUUGCGUAGUUUGAUUUAAAAAAUUGAUACAUUAUUCAUGGACAAAAAAAAUAUUGAGUUGUUUAAAAUUUGAACACCCUUGACGGUAUUCCUAGUUAUGUCACUGAGCAUAUGCGUACUAGAUGUAUAACCUCGACAGUGUAUUAUAUCCAGGAGCGAAGCCACCUUUUGCUAAGGGUGGUAAAUUCGUCAGAAAUAUUACGAAAAAUUACAUUGUAUAUAUAAGUAAAUUAUUAGAUUUUAGAUGUAUAUAACAUAUAUUGAACACCUUUUAUUAGAAUAUUUUUUUACUUUUUUCAAGGCUGAACACCCUUAGGAAAUAUUCUGGCUUUGCUACUGAUUACAUCAUAACGUUAGGGGAGAAUAAUUCAAUUCUCUUUUAUGUAAAAGCUAAGUAUUUAUGAAUGCAUAAUGUAUACAAAUGUUUAAUCGCAGUUACAAACUUUGUCUUAUUUUCGAGAGUAAUUACCAUAUCGAUUAGGUUGAAACUCCUCGAAAAGGAGCUCUAAAUAAUUACUUGCUUAGGCUUCAUGGAUAGGAACUAAUGGCAUUUUUCCUCCAUAAAUCUCUGGCAGCUGACUUUCAUCAAUGUCUUGAAGUAGAGUUGUCAUUAGUCGUUUGUUUUCCACAAACAUGAUCUGAUGAGAGGAAGGAUAAAAAUUAAUUUUGUAAAGAUAAUUAAUCUAAUACAAGGUUUAACCAGGGGCGGCUCAACGGUAUCCGGGGCCUAAAGCUAAACUUCAACGAGGGGGACUAAGUUUUUUCAUAUUUAAAAACUCAUUUAAUAAAUUUUUAUUUUAAAGUUAAUUUUUCUAGCUUUUUGAGAUGUAAUUUUUAAUAAUUUAUUUAUAAUCGAUUUCUUAAUUUUAUUUAUAAUCGAUUUUUUAACUAGGAUUAUAUAUAUUUCUACUUUCUAGGAUUAUUAUUCAAUUCUUUUAGGAUUUCCUAAUUUUCUAAAAGAUCUUUGUUAAACUCUUACCAACUUCUUCUUCUUCUUGGAUUUCAUUCUCUUCUACCUCAAUUAUAUUAGUGAUUUGUUUAUCUACCAUAAAUUCUUCCUAUUUUUGGGGACUGUAUUAAAGUUUCAAUUCUUCUCUCCUUUUUUGGUAUUUUUAAUAUGGGGAUUCAUAUUUUCUUGUUGACAUAUUAAAAUUUUAAUAAAUUUAAAAAGGUAAUGCAUAUACUUACAAACAAAAGAUAUAUAUAAAAAAAAUUAGAUGCAAAGUAAUAAGAAAAGUAUAGAACAAUUGAACCUGGUUUAACAAAUAGUCAUGGAUAACUUGAUAUAUUACUUUUGCUGUUUCAAUAUUUUUGGUGCAAUUCCGAGAAAGCUUGACAAAAAAAAAGUUCGCAAUUGCUUUCUACUAUCAUAUUUGACAGAAUAUUUUAUGAGACUGUGGACUUAUAAGUUUGAAAAGGAAUAUAAAAGAUUAAGUAAAAACCAGUUUAAAGAGAAAGUAAUAAAAUUAACGUGGGUCAUGCGAUAAUAAUGAUAAUAUAUAAAGGAUGCAAAAUAAAUAUUCACACGUAAGUAACUAUUGUUAUUCCCAAAUUAUCUCUAUUGGUCUCAUAGUUCCCUUAUUUAUGAAAAAUAUACUUUUUUUAUAUACUAAAUAUUUUUUUAAAAAUUUAUCAAAUACAAAUACAACUAUUUAAUACAGUAUCAGAAAAUUUUGGGCCCCUAGAUGUGGGGGUGCUUUACCAUUGAGCCGCCCCUGGGUUUAACCAAUAGCUUAACUGCAGCUUGACUAAAUUCUAGCAUUGUUUCAUCAAACCUUAGUAGAGUCUCACCUUCUUUUUGGUCUUGUUAUCAAUAAAAGGAGACACAAUUUUCCACAAUGUCCAGAAUAGGUAAGGAAUUUUAACUCCAAGUAUCUUUUCAAGUCUUUCAGGGUAGCAGUCCUGCAAUUAAUAGUAUAGUAAACUUCAAGAUUAUGGACUAGAAUACGGUGAGCCGUUUUCCCAUGACAAUUACAGAGGAAAAAAAUUAUAAGGAUUUCAUAUAUAUAUAUAUAUAUUUGCAGUGUCAAGUACUUUUACGCUAUAAAUGUUUUGAUUUUUAUUAGAUAAGCUACCUUGUUUUUCAGGUUACUAAUUCAUAUGAGCUUACAAUUGUCCGUAUAUAGAAGUUAAACUCAACGAAAAUAGAUAAUUAAACCUGUAAAAUGGAUAGAGCCCAAAUGUAUGCACGAGCAUCGCUGUUGGCAUAGCCAAAACCUUGGAGAUCCACAAUUACCACAAACUUUUCCCUACCUGGUGAGGUCCUGAUUAAUCAAGAAAAUCCCAAAAUAAAAAUAAUUACUGUAUUAAGGCUGCAUGAUCUCGACUGCUUCUUUGAAAAGGCAAAUUUGCCAAGUGAGAAUAUUAUAUUAAUUAAUUAGAUAGUGUACCUUGAACACAGUUUGUCUAAAGCCAAGACCACAAAUCCUGUAAAUGAAAACAAAGUCUUGACUAUAAAUUAAGUAGCAGGCCAAGUACGUAGAACGGAAUAAAGAGAAAGAAAACAAAAAU
rnacentral:lncRNA from 1 species